CUGGCACGCCUUCCUCGCCGUCACCCCAAGCUGAUUCACCUGAGCACAGGACUUCUAGGGUGUAUUCGUCUCAUGUGGAUGCCAACCGGUCUCCGGUUCACGAGCCUUAGGUCGACGAGCCUUCAACCCAUGAGACUCGUGUCCCAGAGGCUUCGUUCCAGGCAACUCCGGAGCAAAGCAGGGAUGAGGGUACGUCCCCAGAGACCCAGUGGGAUAUCUAGGAUGAUCUGGGUCAGCCUGAGCCAAGUGGCCAUGCUGAUAGCGACGAGGAGCUGGGUGAGGGGACCACCGUCUACCAGCGUGGUAGUUCGGGGCUCCCGCUCGUGCCGGCGACCCGUGAGCAGAGGUGGUCGAUUAAGCCAAAUGGGGACAAGUAAGUUAACUUACUCUUAUUUAACCUUUUGCCUUCACGUUUUCUCAAAUAUCUAAUGUUUUGGCUCUAAUUUGUCAUACUGCAAGGGUUGGAUUGUUGCCAAGGGUGUCCGCAAGCCUGAUGUCCCACAAGCGUAUGGGAUCGCAACAGUUUUCGAGGGUAGAGUAUUCAACCCAAAUUUAUUGAUUCGCUCACAAGGGGAAGCUAAAGGAUAUUCUCAAGUAUUAGCAGCUGAGUUGUCAAUUCAACCACACAUGAAAGAUUAGUAUCUGCAAGCAAAGUAUCAGUAGCAAAGUAGUAUGAUAGCAACGGCACCAGAAAAAGCUUUGACAAUCCCCGACAACGGUGCCAGAAAAAGCUUUGUUGACGGGAUGUUAGCGCCAACGAAGUCUUGCAACAAGUAACAGCAGAGUAGCAAGGAACAGUAGUAGCAGCAGCAGAGUAACAAGUAACAGUAGUAGCAACAGUAGCAGCAAAGUAACAGCAGCAAAGUGGCCCAAUCCCUCUUGUAGCAAGGGACAUGCCUAGGCAAAGUAACGUAGCGAGGACCAGUAGUAACAGACUCGUAGGCAGUGGAUCGGUGAUGGAUGAGUGUGAUGGAUGUGAUUCAUCAUGUAACAGCUAUAACACGGAGAGAUAUGUGGCUAGCUCCCGUUCAUCAAUCUAAUGUAGGCAUGUAUUCCUUAUGUAGUCAUACGUGCUUAGGGAAAAGAACUUGCAUGCCAUGUAUUAUCCAUCCCUCCCGUUGCAGCGGGGUCCUAAUGGAAAAUACGGGAUAUUAAGGUUCUCCUUUUAAUAAAGAAUCGAACCAGCGCAUUCACACGCGGUGAAUACAUGAACUCCUCAUACUAUGGUCAUCUCCGGGAGUGGUUCCGGCUAUUGUCACUCCGGGGUCGCCGGGUCAUAACACAUAGUAGAUGACUACAAGUUGCAAGAUAGGAUCUAAAACACACAUAUAUUCGCGACAACAUAAUAGGUUCAGAUCUGAAAUCAUGGCACUCGGGCCGUAGUGACAAGCAUUAAGCAUAGCCAAGUAGUAGCAACAUCAAUCUAGAACAUAGUGGAUACUAGGGAUCAAUCCCCGUCAAGAACUAACUCGAUUACAUGAUAGAUCUCAUCCAACGCAUGACCGUCUAGCAAGCCUACAAUGAGAUUACUUACGAACGAUGACGAGCAACGUGGAAUUGUCGAUGGAGAAAGGUUGAUGAUGACGAUGGCGACGAUUUCCCCUCUCUAGAGCCCGAAACGGACUCCAAAUCUGCCCUCCAGAUGAAGAACACGAUGUGGCGGCGCCUCUGUAUCGCAAAACGCGAUGAAACCUUCUCUCCGAUUUUUUUCCAGGCGAAACGGAUGAUAUAGGAGUGUGAUUGGGGGCGGUGGUGCCACGUGGGCCCCACAAGCCCUCAUGGCGCGGCCAUAGGGGGUGGCCACGGCCCAGCGACUUGUGACCCACUCGCACGCCCUCUCACGUGUAUCUUUGCGCAGGUAUUUUUCUUUUAUUCCAGAAAAAUCACCGUAAAUUUUCAGGAUGUUCCGAGAACUUUCAUUUCUGCACAAAAACAACACCAUGGCAAUUCUGCUAAAAACAGCGUCAGUCCGGGUUAGAUCCAUUCAAAUCAUGCAAAUUAGAGUCUAAAACAAGGGCAAAAGAGUUCGGAAAAGUAGAUACGACGGAGACGUAUCAACUCCCCCAAGCUUAAAGCCUUGCUUGUCCACAAGCAACUCAGUUGACAAACUGAGAGAGACAAAAGAAAAACUUUGACGAACUCUGUUUGAUCUUGUUGUUGCAACUAUGUCUAACUCACAACCAGAAUUUCAGCAACAUCACAAGCAAACCACAAAAGCAAAUGACAUCUAGGUCUCACGGUAAACUCAUAUCAAUGACAUAAUCAACUAGCGAGCAAAUAUUAAUAAGCCUCAAGUGUCAACACUUCAAUCAAAACAACAUGAAGCAGUAAGAAUAGAUGGUAUCUCGCUAGCUCUUUCUGAGACCGCAAAACAUAAAUGCAGAGCACCUUAAAAGACCAAGGGCUGACUAAACAUUGUAAUUCAUGGCAAUGAAGAUCCAGUCAUAGUCAUACUCAACACAGUUAAAAGCAAAGCAUUAAAAUGACUGAGGUGCUCUCUAAUUGGUGCUUUUGUAAGAGGAGAAUGACUCAACAGGAACAUAAACAGACAGGCCCUUCACAGAGGGAAGCAUUGAUUUGCAGAGGUGCCAGAGCUCAAGCUUUGAAAACAGAGAUAAUAAUUUUGGGUGGCAUGCUUUCAUUGUCCAUGCAAUGACUAAGAGGUCUCAAUAUCUUCCACACUACACAUGCUAUAGGCGGUUCCCAAACAGAAAAGUAAAGUUUUGACUCCCCCACCACCAAUCAAUCACACUCCACGGCUGGCCGAAUCCUCGGGUACCGUCCAAACCAACACCAAUCUUGGGGGAGUUUUGUUUGCAAUUAUCUUUUCGAUUUGAGCAUGGAACUGGGAAUUCCAAUUAUCGGCCCCUUGCUCGUGAAUGAUAGUGAAUAAACACAUAUCGAGGAUAACACGCCUAGCAUGGAAGAUACCAAUAGCCCACUGCCACCACAUGAGCGGUUCGGCAUGCAAAACAGAUUAUUUCUUGAAGGUUUAGAGAGUGGCACAUAGAACGGCAGGUAGAUACCGCACAUAGGUAGGUAUGAUGGACUCAUAUGGCACAACUUUGGGUUUACGGAGGUGGAUGUACAAGCAUUAUUCCCACUUAGUACAAGUGAAGGCUAGCAAAAGACUGGGAAGCGACCAACUAGAGAGCGACAACAGUCAUCAAAAUGCAUUGAGAUUAAUUAACAUUGACUGCAAGCAUGAGUAGGACAGAAAUCACCAUGAACAUGAACAUCAUAGAGGCUAUGUUGAUUUUGUUUCAACUACAUACGUGAACAUGCGCCAAGUCAAGUCACUUGAAACAUUCAAAGGAGGAUACCAUCCUAUCAUACUACAUCAUAGUCAUCUCAACAUUAAUGUUGGCAAUCAAGACAAACCAUUAUAAGCUCCUAGCUAAAUAAGCAUGACAUAAGCAACUAUGAUCUCUAAGUUGUCAAUGCAAACAUGUUUAUCUCACAACAAAGCUGAAUCAGGCAUGAUGAGCUAGUCAUAUUUACAAAAACAAAAUAGAUCGAGUUCAUACCAGCUUUUCCAAGCUCAGUCACUUCAUCAUAUAUCGUCAUUAUUGCCUUUCACUUGCACGACCGAACGAUGUGAACAAUAAUAAGCGUGCUCGUGCAUUGGACUAAAGCUGGAAUCUGCAGGAAAACACAAAGGAGAAGACAAAGUAAUAUGGCUCUUUGAAAGCUAAACACGUAUGCAUGCAAGAGCCACUAAACAUUGUAACCAAUAUCUUCUACCUUGACCCAAGGAAAAAGAAAACUAUCUACACGGGAAAACUCCCAAGAGGAAAAAGAAGAAAAAGAAAAUCUUUUUGGUUUUUUCAAACUAGAUAGACACACAAAAAGAAAACGAGAAAAAGAAAAUAAACUAACAUGGGUGAUAAAGUGGCAAAGUGUGAACACCGGCUAACAAAGUGAAAGCAUAAGCAAGAAUGUAAAGUCGGUGGGAACACAUACUCCCCCAAGCUUAGGAUUUUGGCCUAAGUUGGUCUACUCCGAAGGAGGGAAAUAACCACCUCAGGGGUACUCCGGAGUGGACUGAGGAUGCCACUGCUGUGUGAGCUCUUAUCGCUCCCACUGAUAAACUGGCGUCUGGUACUCGACUGGCGGCUCGGGCAUGGGCAAGUGUGGUUGGGCCAAGCCCCCAAUAUGCAUAGAUGUCCGAGGGCAUAAUAAUGUACCUACCUACAUGAUGAUUGAACAAAGAAGGAGCAGGCAAAGUAAUUGUCUCAUGAGUACCCUGACUAAAUACCAGGUUAUAAAUCAUCCUUCUACUUAUAUCUCUAUCAAGAAAGUCAUGGCGAACCAUGCUAUCAUAAUCUAGAUAUCCCUCGGGAAAAAGAAUCUCUUCUUCCUCCACCAGUCUAACAGGUAUCUCAAAGUGUCUGGCACGACGAGUAGCGUAGAUACCUCCAUAGACAACACAUUUAGAACGGUUCAGGUUCAACCGUUGAGCUACUAUGGCGCCCAAGCUAUAAGUUUUAUCGUUAUAAAGGGCUUCGUGCAAGACCGCAAGAUCUGGGGAACUAAGUGACCCACCUUUCCCAUGACCAAUCAAACAUUUUCCCACAAAUAGUGAGAAGUACCGAAGCACGGGAAAAUGAAUGCUAGCAGCUCUAGCGCAAGACACUCCUCUCUCCUCUCCUACAGCAAUAGUAUCGAUAAAAGCUUCCAAGUCCCGUGGACGAGGUUCAUGAAUAUCCCCAACGUAAGGUAAUUUGCAACAUUGCAAAAAUCCUGGAGAGACAUGGACUGGGGGACAUCAUAAAGUUUAAACUCAACCAUAGGAGGAUUCUUCCUCGGAUAGAAGUUAAAGCUUUGUACGAAGAUAUUAGUGAGGAGGAGGUAUUGCGAACACUUAUCUUCAACGAUGGCGGUAAGGCCUGCGUUCUCCACCAAAUGAUAAAAGCCAUCAUAAAUUCCAGCGGCGCGUAAGAACACGUCGCUUGGCCACUCGCAUGCUCGAACUUCCGCUUCUCGAGGGACUGGAUACUUGGGCUUCUUCUCACUCCCAUCAUCUUUGGAGUCACGGCUUGACGAGCCUCUCAAGAACCUCCUCAUAUUUUACCUUUUCUAUCUCUGAAAAUUUCUGAAAUUUUUAGUGAUUCUAAGGAAAAGUGAAUAAGGCUCAAUGAAACUCGUAGCAACUACUCCCACAAGUGCCUAGAUACCAUAUCACGCAUCAAAACUACUUGGGACCAGCUAGAAUCAGCAUACACAGCUCAAGAACAUGGUCACCAAGGCAGCAAAAAUACGCGGAGUAUAAGGCACUAGGGAAAAAACUAAUUGGACCAAUGGAGGAGUCACUUACCAAGGAGUAAUUUCCCCAAAACAGUUCGGAGAAUGGUGAUUUGAGCAAAGAGAUCGAAAAUCCUAGCAAGAGGAGCAAGAACACGUGUUUGAGCUGCGAAACGAUUUUUUCUGGAGGAAGGAGAAGUGGAUGGGAGCAAGAAUGAGUGGAGGGGGUGCAUGUGGGCCACAAAAGCCUGGGUGGCGCGGCCAGGGGGGUGCCCGCGACCCUAGCGCUUGUGUGCCACUAGUGUGGCCCCCAGACAGACUGUUUGUCCCAAUGAUUUUCAAAUAUUCCAGAAAAAAACAUACGAGAUUUUCACAGCGUUCGGAGAACUUUUAUUUCCGGGGUAUUUUUCCACCGGACGCUAAAACAGAAAACAGGGAAAACUAAACUAAAUCUAUCAUUUUUCUUCUAAGCAACCUAAAGUGAAAGCUUGGAACAGAGGUUUGUGACUCCUCGAUUCAUCCAUCUCAUGGUCAUCGAAAGAAAUCCGUCAAUGGGGUUGAUCAAAUCCCCUCAACAAAACUUUCUCGAAUCGCAAAAGAAGACGGAGAAUUUUCGAAUAGUCACUAAGUAACCUUAAUGGGGAUGUGUAUCUCCCCAACAAGCAAAUCAUACUUUAUCUUGACACGAGGAAUAGGGCAUUUAAAGCUCCUGUUAAGAAUCGAUGAAGUUUUUUCGAUAGCAUUGUUGCAAUGUACUCGAUAUUGUUUCUUCGGAAAGUGCACCGUAUGCUCAUUACCGUUGACAUGGAAAGUGACAUUGCCUUUGUUGCAAUCUAUAACAGCCCCUGUAGUCUUUAAAAAGGGUCUUCCGAGGAUGACAGCCAUGGCAUCGUCCUCGGGAAUAUCCAAGAUAAUAAAGUCUGUUAAGAUAGUGGUGUUAGCAACCACAACAGGCACGUCCUCGCAAAUGCCGAUAGGGAAAGCAGUUGAUUUGUCGGCCAUUUGCAGAGAGAUUUUAGUGGGUGUCAACUUAUCCAGUUCAAGUCUACGAUAAAGAGAGAGAGGCAUCACACUAACACCGGCUCCAAGUUCGCAUAACGCAGUUCUAACGUAGUUGCCUUCAAUGGAGCAAGGUAUAGUGGGCAUACCGGGAUCACCUAGUUUCUUCGGAGUUCCACCCUUGAAAGUGUAAUUAGCAAGCAUGGCGGAGAUCUCAACCUUAGGUACCCUCCUCUUAUUAGUCACAAUAUCUUUCAUGUACUUAGCAUACAGAGACAUCUUGAGCAUAUCCGUCAAACGCAUUUGCAGAAAGACAAGUCUGAUCAUCUCAAUGAAGCGCUCAAAAUCCUCAUCAUCCUUUUUCUUGGAUGGUUUGGGAGGAAAGGGCAUGGGUUUCUGAACCCAUGGUUCCCUUUCUUUACCAUGCUUCCUAGCAGCAAAGUCAUUCUUAUCCUAUCUUCUAGUCUUAGGUUGUGGGUUAUCAAGAUCACAGGUUCAAUCUCCACAUCCUUAUCGUUGCUAGGCUAAGCAUCUUCAUGAACAUCACUGUUGAUAUUAUCAUUAGGCUCAUGUUCAUCACGAGAUUGUGUUUCAGCAUCAGAGAUAGAGGCAUCAUUUGGACUCUCAGGGGUAGCAGCAACAGGGUUGCUAGCGUGCUGGUUCCUAUCAUCUUUCUUCUUCUUUCUAGGAUGACUAGGUGCAUCAGUGCUACCUCCUUGAGACUCUUGUUCUACUCUCUUCGGAUGACCCUCAGGAUACAGAGGUUCCUAGGUCAUUCUACCGCCUCUAGUGACGACUCUAACAGAAUUGUCACUCAACUCGUUGAGCAAGUCAUUUUGAGCUUCAAGUACUUGUUCUACCUGAGUAGUAACCAUAGAAGCAUGUUUACUCGGAAGCUUAAGAUCGUUGACGUUUCUGUCCACACAAGCACUUAAUGACUAAGCAUACGAGCAUUCUUUUCCAAUUGUCUGCUAACAUAAUCGUUGAAACUCUGUUGUUUGGCAACGAAGUUAUCAAAUUCAUCCAUGCAUAAGCUAGCGGGUUUAUCAAAAGGAAUGUCACUCUCAUCAAACCUACGCAGAGAAUUUACUUCUACUACCUGUAUCGGGUUAUCGAGACCAUGGAUCUCCUCGAUAGGUGGUAGAUUUUUGGCAUUUUCAAAUUUAAUGCCUUUCUCUCUCAUAGAUUUCUUGGCUUCUUGCAUAUCUUCAGGACUCAGGAAUAGAAUACCUCUUUUCUUCGGAGUUGGCUUAGGAGGUGGUUCGGGAAUAGUCCAAGCAUUCUCAUUGCACAAGAUGUUGUUCAACAGAAUCUCAGCUUGUUCUACAGUUUGUUCCCUAAAAACACUACCGGCACAACUAUCUAGAUGGUCUUUGGAAGCAUCAGUAAGUCCAUUAUAGAAGAUAUCAAGUAUUUCGUUCUUAUCAAGAGGGUGAUCAGGCAAAGCAUUCAGUAGCUGGAUAAGCCUCCCUCAAGCUUGUGGGAGACUCUCUUCCUCAGCUUGAGCAAAGUUGUAUAUUUCCUGCAAGGCAGCUUGCUUCUUAUGGGCAGGGAAAUAUUUUUCAUAGAAGUAGUAGACCAGGUCCUGGGGACUACGCACACAUCCAGGAGCAAGAGAAGUGAACCAGGUCUUAGCAUCAUCCUUUAGCGAGAAAGGAAACAGCUUGAGCAUAUAGUAGUGGCGGAUCUUUUCCUCACUAGUGAAUAGGGUGGCUAUAUCGUGCAGUUUGGUAAGAUGGGCUACAACCGUUUGAGACUCAUAACCUUGAAAAGGAUCAGAUUCGACUAGAGUGAUUAACUCAGGGUCGACAGAGAAUUCAUAAUCCUUAUCGGUCACAAAGAUAGGCGAAGUGGCAAACUUCAGGUCGUAUUUCAUCCUAGCAUUCAGAGAUUUUUCUUUCCACUUGCGCAGAAGUUUCUCAACAUCAUACCUAUCCUUACACGCAAGAAAAUACUCAUCUAUCUCUCCCUCCAUAACAUAGCGUGUAUCAGGCAUAACAGGCAAUUCAGGUAUAGUAGCAGGUUCUACUUCAAUAGUAUCAGCAGUUUUAGAAGUAUCAUCACAUCAAGCAGCAACUCUAGCAAGUUGUGCAUCAAGGAAUGCAUCUAGUGGCAAAGCAGUAUCAGACAUAGCAUCAUCAGGCAUAGUAUCAAGUAUAGCAUCAUCAGGCAUAGUAUCAAGCAUAGCAUCAUCAGGCAUAGUAUCAAGCAUAGCAUCAUUAGGCAUAGGCGACAUAUCAAGAUUUCUAGCAGGAGGCGAAGUCGCAAACUUCCUCAAAACUUAAGGUGAAUCAAGUGCAGAGCUAGAUGGCAGUUCCUUACCUCUCCUCGUAGUGGAAGGUAGGAUUUUAGUUCUUGGAUCUUUCGGAUUCCUCAUAGUGAUCAGCAGACGUCAAUCCCAAGUGACUCAGAGAAUAUAACUGUGCUUCCCCGGCAACGGUGCCAGAAAAAGCCUUGAUGUCCCACAAGCGUAUGGGAUCGCAAAAGUUUUCGAGGGUAGAGUAUUCAACCCAAAUUUAUUGAUUCCCUCACAAGGGGAAGCUAAAGGAUAUUCUCAAGUAUUAGUAGCUGAGUUGUCAAUUCAACCACACGUGAAAUAUUGGUGUCUGCAAGCAAAGUAUCAGUAGCAAAGUAGUACGAUAGCAACGGCACCAGAAAAAGCUUUGACAAUCCCCGGCAACGGCGCCAGAAAAAGCCUUGUUGACGGGAUGUUAGCGCCAACAAAGUCUUGAAAUAAGUAACAGCGGAGUAGCAAGGAACAGUAGUAGCGGCAGCAGAGCAACUAGUAACAGUAGUAGAAACAGCAGCAGCAAAGUAACAGCAGCAAAGUAGCCCAAUCCCUCUUGUAGCAAGGGACAAGCCUAGGCAAAGUAACAUAGCGAGGACCAGUAGUACAAGACUCGUAGGCAAUGGAUCGGUGAUGGAUGAGUGUGACGGAUGUGAUUCAUCAUAUAACAGCUAUAACACGGAGAGAUAUGUGGCUAGCUCCCGUUCAUCAAUCUAAUGUAGGCAUGUAUUCCAUAUGUAGUCAUACGUGCUUAGGGAAAAGAAUUUGCAUGACAUCUAUUGUCCAUCCAUCCCGUGGUAGCAGGGUCCUAAUGGAAACUACGGGAUAUUAAGGUUCUCCUUUUAAUAAAGAACAGGACCAACGCAUUAACACGCGGUGAAUACAUGAACUCCUCAUACUAUGGUCAUCUCCGGGAGUGGUUCCGGCUAUUGUCACUCCGGGGUUGCCGGGUCAUAACACAUAGUAGGUGACUACAACUUGCAAGAUAGGAUCUAAAACACACAUAUAUUGGCGACAACAUAAUAGGUUCAGAUCUGAAAUCAUGGCACUUGGGCCGUAGUGACAAGCAUUAAGCAUAGCCAAGUAGUAGCAACAUCAAUCUAGAACAUAGUGGAUACUAGGGAUCAAUCCCCGUCAAGAACAAACUCGAUUACAUGAUAGAUCUCAUCCAACUCAUGACCGUCCAGCAAGCCUAUGAUGAUAUUUCUCACGAACGAUGAAGAGCAUCAUGGAAUUGUCGAUGGAGAAAGGUUGAUGAUGAUGAUGGCGACGAUUUCCCCUCUCCGGAGCCCGAAACGGACUCCACAUCUGCCUUCCGGAUGAAGAACAGGAUGUGGCGGCGCCUCCGUAUCACAAAACACGAUGAAACCUUCUCUGUGAUUUUUUUCCAUGCGAAACGGAACAUAUAAGACUGAGAUUGGGGACGGUGGUGCCACGUGGGCCCCACAAGACCUCAUGGCACGGCCAUAGGGGGUGGCCGCGCCAUAGGGGGUGGCCGCGACCCAGGGGCUUGUGGCCCACUGGCACGCCCCCUCACGUGGAUCUUUGCGCAGGUAUUUUUUGAUUAUUCGAGAAAAAAUCUCUGUAAAUUUUUAGGACGUUCCGUGAACUUUCAUUUCUGCACAAAAACAACACCAUGGCAAUUCUGCUGAAAACAGCGUUAGUCCGGGUUAGUUCCAUUCAAAUCAUGCAAAUUAGAGUCCAAAUCAAGGGCAAAAGAGUUCGGAAAAGUAGAUACGACGGAGACGUAUCAAAGCCCAACAGUGUCCUUGGUGUGCUUUGCCUUCCAAACAUCCCGGGGUUCGUUACGUUGCCCGGUCGGGAGCGAGAGGUAAGAAUGACCUGGGAGCACUACUUGGGUGCCUCGGCCCUGCCGGAGGUGGAGAUCGAUGGUGUUUUGUGCCACACGAGGGACGACAUGGUGAUCUGACAGUUUUGGGUAAUUUCUCCUUUACACAAUUAUAAAUCAACCAUAGCUAGUUAUUGUACUAAUCAGUGUUGUCUCGUUCGCAAACCUACUACAGGUGUGAGGAGGGAUACGAGGAGGACACGGCAAAGGUUAUCGAAACCGAAUGUCGCCGCCUACUUCAAAACUUUCGGCAUAAGGCUCGGGUGCAGGCUGUUCGAGACUACUAUGCCAUGCGGUGUAUUAGAAAGGACAAGGUGAAGUGCCGUGAUUCUAAGAUGGACAAGGAGCAUUACAUGAAGGUAAUUACAUAUUAUUAAGGCCUUGUAGUUAGUUUCCUUAAUUUGAUUCCUACGUGUUGCGCUCAAAUUUCUCUUUAUUAACUUAGGUGCCCCCGAGAUGGUGUGUGGAUAAGAUGGAUUGUUGGGAGGCCUUGGUGGAUGAGUGGUGCUUCGAAACAUGGGAGGCCAGCCACAACAACGCCAAGGAGAGGCGUGGCAAAAUGGUUGGUGUGUCACACCAUCAAGGGAGCGUCAACUUAAUCCAAUUUGGUGAGAACUGGGUAUGUGGUUUGCUUCAUGCCUCAUGAAAUUCAAUCUUAAUGCUAUCUUGAUCCCUUUACUAAUACAUUUUUCCUCUCUCUCUCUUUUAGGCGCGUCACAAUAAGACGGAGUUGCCACAGAUUUACGACCUGUAUGCGAUGGCCCAUAUUGCCUCGUACAAAAGGUCAAGGCAUUCUUUGAGUAUAACCUCGAGCAUCCAGAAAACUUCACCAACAUCUCCUCCCACCACAAGCUCGUGAAGUACAGAGAUCGCGGGAAGGUGAGGAAAGGGGAGGACUUUAACCCGGGCGAGGGGCCUAUUGAUCCAGAGUUGGUGAUGAUAGCUGGCAAUGGGAGGCCCCAUGGCUCGAUCGCCAUUGGAGACGGCCUUAUACGUUGUGCUAACACUCUCCGGCUGAUAAAGGCACGCCAAACGAGCUCCUUACCUGAGAUAACACCUCAUCCAUGGCCAGUCGAGCUCGCCAUCGAGGUUAGUUUAAUGGACUCAACUAUCUUUCCACAUUAUGUUGUGUGUGAGAACCAAUAUGCUUACAAUGCUAACAAUGAGUUGUGUUGCAGGCUGCUAUUCUGAAAGGGAGAGAGGCAAUGCAGGCACUUUUGGCGAAGAAGGAUAAGGAGAUGAAGGAGCUGGAGGAUAGGACGGCUGCAUUGGUGGAGGCGGAGAGGGCAUGGAAUGAUGCGUCUAACAGGGCCAUGUACGAGCUCUUCGUGAUAAGUUUCCUCUUCAUAUUAUUUGAAAUCUUGCAUUUUAAUGUCCUUUUCAUUAAUAACUAAAAUGUUUGACUUGUCGAAACCCAAUGUACAGUCUAUGUGCGAAAAGACCGUCCACGUCCCUCCGACGAUGCCAGUCAUUAACAUGGCAGGGACGGUGAGUUUCAUUUGAAUGGAGUGAUCUCAAGAGUGUCAUCAUGCUAACGACACAUUGCAAACGAUGUUUGGUGCAGAAUGUCUCCCGAAAUGCAUCGCACGACCCUUCUACAGUGGAGCCUUCUCGAGGGAAGCCUUCUCCAGGUGAAACAAGCCAGAGCCACCGUGCUUCACCGCCGUGAUGACGAUAAUGGUAUGUUAUUUUUAGUGUUUUUCUUAACAACCGCAUAAUGGUCCAAUAUGGCUUAAUAAGCAUAGUUAGCUCCAAAAUGACAUAUUUAACCCAAGUUAGCUCCAAAAUGACAUAUAGUUUGCUUGGCUUCCACCUAAAGGACAUAUUUAGCUUAGUUAGCUCCAAAAUGGCCUAUUUAAUAAAAAAUGACCUAUACUUUGCUAAGUUCUCUCCGAAAUGGCAUAAUAAGGCUUACGUAGCUCCAAGAUGAGCUAUUCCCCCUAACUUAGCUAUUAAAUGGCCUAUAAUUAGCUUAGCUAGAUCCAAAAUGGCUUAAUAAGCAUAGUUAGCUCCGAAAUGACCUAUUUUACCCAAGUUAGCUCCGAAAUGACCUAUAGUUAUCUAGGCUUCCACCAAAAUGACAUAAUUAGCUUAGUUAGCUCCAAAACGGUCUAUUUAAUAAAAAUGACCUAUACGUAGCUAAUUAUCCUCCAAAAUGACAUAAUUAUGUCCAAAAAUGCAUACUUAGCUGAUUUAGCUCAAAGAAGAGGACAAGAGGGGAAGAAAGAGGAAAAAAUAGCAUACUUAGCUAAUUUAGCUCCAAGAAGGAAGAAGAAGAAGAAUAAGAGAAGAAGAAGAAAAGAAGAAGGAGAAGGAGCACUCCUUCUUCUCCUUCUUCUUCUCUCCUUCUUCUUCUCCUUCUUCUUAUCUUCUUCUUUUCUUCUUCUUCUCGUCUUCCUUCUCCUUCUCCUCCUCCUCCUCCUCGUCCUUCUUCUUCUUCUUUUCCUUCUCCUUCUUCUCUUCUUGCUUCUUCUCUUUCUUCUUCUACGUAGCUUAUUUUCCCCAACAAAGACAUACUUAUCUAAUUAUCCUCAAAAUGACAUAAUUAGCUUAGUUAGCUCCAAAAUGGUCUAUUUCAUAAAAAAAUGACCUAUACUUAGCUAAUUAUCCUCCAAAAUAACACAAUUAGCUCCAAAAAGGCAUAAUUAGCUAAUUUAGCUCGAAGAAGAGGACAAUAGGAGAAGAAAGAGGAAAAAUGAAAAGAAGGAAGAAUAAGAAGAAGAGAAGAAAAGAGAAGAAGAAGGAGAAGGAGAAGGAGGAGAAGGAGAAGGAGAAGGAGCCCUCCUUAUUCUUCGCAUNNNNNNNNNNNNNNNNNNNNNNNNNNNNNNNNNNNNNNNNNNNNNNNNNNNNNNNNNNNNNNNNNNNNNNNNNNNNNNNNNNNNNNNNNNNNNNNNNNNNNNNNNNNNNNNNNNNNNNNNNNNNNNNNNNNNNNNNNNNNNNNNNNNNNNNNNNNNNNNNNNNNNNNNNNNNNNNNNNNNNNNNNNNNNNNNNNNNNNNNNNNNNNNNNNNNNNNNNNNNNNNNNNNNNNNNNNNNNNNNNNNNNNNNNNNNNNNNNNNNNNNNNNNNNNNNNNNNNNNNNNNNNNNNNNNNNNNNNNNNNNNNNNNNNNNNNNNNNNNNNNNNNNNNNNNNNNNNNNNNNNNNNNNNNNNNNNNNNNNNNNNNNNNNNNNNNNNNNNNNNNNNNAUUUGUGUGAAAAAUUCUAGAUAUUAUUAAAAAUAAAAUAAACAGUGGCAGUUUGGAGCCUUUGUCGUGUGCCCACCGACGGCAAAGGAGCUACAGCAGAUGCAAAAGUGCCCAAACUAGCCUUUUGAAUCAAAUUGGGUGCCCCCCCUUUGUCGUUUGCCAUGCUGGUAGGCAGACGGCAACGGGGCAAAGGGCAGACGGCAAAGGGGCAAACGAGAGGGGCUUUGGUGGCACCUUUAUCAUCAACCCACCAGCAUGGCAAACGGCAAAGGGGUCCAUGCGAGACGGAAAACUAUAUGUGGGCCCAGCAGGCUGCCGUUAGCACUUGACGGAGGUGCCCGCAGAUGUGCCGUCCCAUAUUCUUUGCCGUCUGCCCCCUCAUGGAAAAUAUCCUUUGCCGUCAGUUGUCCCAAUGCAGACGGCAAAGAGGCCCUUCACUUGAUUUUUGUUUGUCGUCCAGUUUGUCGUGUGCUAACGGACAACAAAGGCCUUUGCCGUCCGGGGUGUUCCCCUUUGCCGUCAGCCAUGGCGGACUGCAAAGUAUCUACUCCCUAUAGUGCUUGCACUCUGUGUCGGCACGGCCCAACCCUGCGCAUACCUCAACCGCCACUGGAAAACUAGGGGGUGAGGGGCUACAGGACUAGUGAAGGUUCCUGAGACACGAUGCUCAAGAAUGCCCCUUUGACGCACAAUCAGCUCGCUCGAGGGCCCUUGUAUUCACCGUUGGGAGCCUUUUCUCUCUGCGUAGGCAGGGCCCAGCCCUGCGCGUACCUUAGCCGCCAGUGGAACGUCAGGGGGUGAGGGGCUACAUGACUAGUGCACGUUCCCGAAACGCAAUGCUCAAGAACCCCCUUUGAAGCGCAAUCGACUCUCUUGAGGGCCUUUGCAUUCAUCGUUGGGAGCGUUUGCACUCUGCGUCGGCAAGGCUCAACUCAGCGUGUACCUCAAUCGCCACUGGAAUGUCGGGGAUGCGGGGCUACACGACUAGUGAAGGUUCCCGAGAUGCCAUGCUCUAGACCCCCCCCCCUUGACGUGCAAGCGGCUCGCUUGAGGGCCUUUGCGUUCGCCAUUGGUAGCCUUUGCGCUCUGCAUCGGCAGGGCCCAGCCCUGCAUGUACCUCAGACACCUUUGGAACACUAGGGGGUGAGGGGCUAUAGGACUAGUGAAGAUUCCGCAGAUGCGAUGCUCAGGAACACCGCUUGACGCGGAAGCAGCUCUCACACGAACGAAUUGGUCGGAGCGUCAUGCACCUCCCUACUUACACUUGGGUGUCGCCUGAGGAGACUAGACACGAAGGACCGUGAGAGGUGAAGUGCCCGGGGGUAAACCUGGAUAGAGCUCGAUCGCUUGGAUUUUUUAGCGCUGCACGGACUAACCGAGCACACGCAUUGUGUCCAUCCCCACUCGCACGAGGUACAAUGGGAAGCUGGCGAGCAUGAAGCUCCGACCAUCCUCCCAAGCGUGAUGUAUGGGGUUUCCACUUGGGCGUGGGCAUAGUCACGGUUCGAUAGUAAUUUCGCCAGCAUGGAGCAUGGUGACUUCCACUUGGGCAUGGGCGGAAGCCCCCUUCCGAGGCCAUGAAGUGGCUCGUCGUGGGCUUCCACUUGGGACGCUCGAGGGCAUAUACAACCCCAAACCCAUUAUUACAUGAGAGUUUCAUGGGCGGUGAUUACAGAGGUGCCGGACACCUCACCACAAAGUUCAAGAGCUCCGAGUCUCAGCCUUUAGGCAGGUUGCGCCUUAUUCUUUGCGCAUCAACGCGCUUAUGGAGUCUAUGACUUGGGGGCGACAUGCGCGAGGUGAUCAUCGCGAGGCCACUGCACGAAGGGGUUCGGUAUCGAUGACCCUAGGAGCUGACGUGUACGGGAGCGAGCCCUUCACACGGAGCUUAGUCACUCGGGUUUAUCAGCGCUGCAGGGACAAACCCUAGCACAGACGUCGUGCGAGGUUCCUUCAUGGAAUGACGAGGGGAAAAUCACCUGCUGCAUGGCACCCGAGGCGACGAAGCGCCAAUCCGACAGUGAUGCAUAUUAAAACAUGCCCCCACUAGCCCGUUCGCGGUAACCCCGUGAGGGGCAAGACACCAAGGACCUCAGUGGUGGCGCGCACGGGAACAAGCCCGCUAGACAGAGCUCGGUCACUUGGAUUUAUCAACGCUUCAACGACGAACCCGAGGACAGACGCCAUGUCUAGCACCUCCAAGGGAUAUCCGAGAAGCGGGUUGCAGGAGUGCGGCGACUUCAAAUGGUGGCGAGGCACCGAAUGCAGGGUUUAAGUGAAAGACAUAAGCUUUGAAUGGAAUUACAAGGUUUACUACACAACCAAAAAGCGAGAAUUCCGUGAGGUUGAGCCCUAGUGCCUGAGUAUCACGCAGCCCGAAGGAUGCCCUCAAUAUCGAACAAAAAAAUCACGUGGUGAUUGUGUUGUCAUGGGUGCUCCGGGUUGCUUGAUGAAGCGCGUCGUGAAGGGCGGCCCCUCAAGGGCUGGCUGCCUCCCGCAGCUCUGGGGGCCCGCAAGGUCCCGGCACAACGCGAGGCGCUAUUGUGAGCAGUGCCAACCUUUGGAAGGUAGCAUCAUCGUUCUGUAAGCCAAAGGGCAUGUGAACAUGGUCGGCGGCAGUGCCUCGGCCUUGGUCCACACACGAAGGCCAGAAGGAGAUCGGGUUCCGGCCCCAUUGAGGCCCGCGAUGUUGAUGCACACACGCACCUCACCGGUCCUCCCAGGAGCGACGAUCCUCUUGACGAGGCGCUCCGGGCGACGCUCACCACGCAUGGCACGCGCCUCUCGUUGCUUGGUGAUUACCUGGGCGAUGAACUCUUAUGCCCCCGGUGUCCGGUGUCGUACCCCUUGAGCGUGAGUGUGCGCAUUGAGGCAUACCUCUAUGUGGUGUCUAAGUACCUCUCUCAAUGUAUCGUCCAGGUCGUAUGCUUUCUAGGUGGAAGCCCAGAGCCUGACCCGAGGGAGGCAUCGGGCACGACUUCCUAUGUCGAAAGGGCUAGGCACUAGCAACAUGCACGGGGCUCAUGGCCCUAGCAUUAGUCAUUGUACCUUUUGCCUUUUGCAGAGUUAGAGACGGACAGCGACUGCUUCUUCUUUGGGGGUGCGACCUCAAUAGGCUCGUGGUCCCCGGCAUCGAUGGAGCGCUCUGUUGCGGCGGCCUUCUAGGCACGCUCGAGGGAGCAUACUUCGUCCUUUUCAUCAUAGGUGAUGGUGAUGAUGUUGUUGUAACCCGGUAUCUUGAGGAUGUUCUAACGAUGGUGGGUCACCGCCAUGAACUUGGCCAAUGUUGGGUAUCCCAAGAUGGCAUUCUAUGGGAGGGCAACGUACGCCACGUCGAAGUCAAUGAGCUUGGUAUGAUAGUAGACGCAUGUGCCGAAGGUGACAGGACCAAGGAUUUGCCCCAGUGGAGUGGAGCUGUCGGCCACCCUAGAGAAUGGGCUAGUCGGCAUCAACUGGUCAUAAGGCACCUAGAGCAUGUCGAAGGUUUCGAUAGAGAGCAUGUUGAGGCCUGCACCUCCAUCAAUGACAGUCUUGGUGACUACAAUGUUCCUGAUGGUGGGAGUACACAUGAUGGGGAGCGUGCCCGCUGCGGCCAUGGACCUAAGGAUGUCCUUGGUGUCAAAGGUGAUGGUGUAGUGAGACCACUUGAGGGGCUUCAUGUCCCCCGGCCUUAGAAGGGCAGCGUUCACCUCGCAAGAGAGCUAUUUGAACCGGCGGUUUGACGAGGGGGCAUGAGAUCCGCCAAGAAUAGAAGCCACUGUGCCAGGCUCUUGAUAGGCUCCGGCCUCCUUGUCACAUUGGUUGUCAUCGUUCCUCCUCGACAUCGGUGGCAGCACAAGGAGUGCCGCGUUAUCCUGAGGCACACCUCACGAUGAUGACCGCACCAGCCGUUCUUGCAAGGCUGCUCGUACCAACCUCGGUGAGGAUUGCCGUUGCUGCUGUCACACCUGCCACCGUCGCAACCAGCAUACGGUCAUUGUGCUCCAAACGCCGACCAACCCCCCCCCCCCAUCGUGGAGGAGCUUGAGUUCUUGGCAGUCUUUAGUGUUGCCGGUGUAUACAUCAUGGUAGAUCCAGAACGGGUGGCGGUCCUCUUCGAGCUGACCUCGCUCGUGGCCAUGAUUUUUCUCGGGUUUAGCCGCAAGGACAGCGGGUCCUUUGCGCUUGACCUCCUUGGCCUUGGCCUUGGCAUCGUCAGGCGCAUUGUUAAGAUUGUUGUGGGCGAACAGGCGGCUCUCCUAGGCCUUGGCGCAUUUGUCGGCGAGGUUAAACAACUCCAUGGUCAUGCUUAGGUUGUCGUUGAUGGCAAGCUUUUCUCACAUCCUGAGGUCCUUGACGCCAUUGGUGAACACUAUGAUGACAACCUCGUCCGUGGCACGCGGAAUCUUGUGGCGCACCUGGGUGAACUGUUCGAUGUACUUGCGGAGGGUCUCCCUAGAGAGGUGCUUCACACGGUGCAAGUCGUUGAUAGAGACGGGACAAUCGUGUGUGACCUUGAAGUUGGGGACGAAUAGCUUGCAGAGGUCACUCAAAAAAGAGUCCAAUUUCUUGGACAGGAUCAGUAGCAAUGACCGUGCGCCGUCCUUCAGGGUCAUCGCAAGCCAGUUCGCCAUGACCUUGUCAUCGCCGCCCGCCGCCUCCACGCUCAAGGCAUACAGUUGAAGGAACUCCGAGAGGUCGAGGUAGCCAUCAUAGCCCGGGGACAGCUCGGGCUUGAACUUGGCCGGCUGAACCACACUGCAAUUCGUCCAAAGCAUGGAGAUGUUGACGAAACAAUUUGACACUGCAGCAGAAUCUCGGUCAAACUAUAAGUCCCAAGGUGUUGCAUCAUCUCCACUUGGGCCCAUGGGCCUUGUAUGACCUAGGGUUAGUUUUAUACUAUCUUGGGCUGCCCUCCCACCUUCUUGGACGUCACCCCUUGCUCCUAUAUAAGUUGAUUAAUCUAGCAGCUUUUUUGCUUGGGAUUUGUUUAGUUAUAAGUAAGCCAUUGCAACAUCCUGUACUUUAUUUUUGUCCAACAACCAGACCAAGACCUCUUUCAGAUCCACACCUUUACCAAUACUUCGUCUAUAUUCACAAUAUUCAUAUUGCUUUUAUUGUAUUUUGCUUGUUCUUCGAUUGCUUGCAGGAAUAGACCUUGAUGGUCAGGUUGAUCGUGCUCUGGCGUGGUCAAUAACCUCUCGAAGUUGGUUUAGCGAUUGUUAAGGCACAACAUCAUGCACGUUUGUAGUCGGAUCAUCAAAGUCGUCUUCACCAAAUCGAUUGUCAUCACCUCAUCAAAAGAUCGAGACACUCGCUUCUAUCACCUGGGUUGUUUCAUUUAUUAUAUUGUGUUCCCAGCAUGUCUCGUAAUUAUCUUGCGGGUACCCUUCCGGUCAACCCAACUCCACAUCACUCGCGGGUACCCAUCGGGGCCGACCUACCUUUCCUAGCAUUAUGGGGUAAAGUCAAAGUAGUCGUGUGUCCAUAACAUCAAGGGGGAAUCUAAGGAAUCACCCUCAAUGGAUUCCACUCUAUGUAACCGUAAUGGUGACCUGGUAGGAAUCACCCUUGAGGGUUCACACUUGAGGUGUUGCACGACAGGGUCGUUAUCGGGAGUGGUGAAGGAGGAAUCACCCUUCGUAAUGCAUGCAUGUUGGUGUUAAAACCAGUGGAUCUCGGGUAGGGGGUCCCGAGGUGUGGACCUUGGAUCGAUGGGUAGCAAGGGACGAAGGAGACGAUGUUUACCCAGGUUUGGGCCCUCUUGAUGGAGGUAAAACCCUAUGUCCUGCUUGAAUAUAGAGUUGAUCUACCUCGAGAUCGUAUGUUGUGUUCUAAACUCUAAUGAUGUAGACGUUGUGUCUCAUGAAUAUCUAUUAAUUAGCCUGGCCUCGACUUAUAUAUCACAACGGAGGCCUAGGAUAACAAGAAUCCUAGUCAAAUACGUUGGUGAAGAUGAGUCAUUGUCUUAAUAACCAAGUGUUGUGGAAUCUUCCUCGUAUAUGUCAUAGGCUGCCCGAAGUAGCCCAGGAGUCCGGCCCAUAAAGAUAGGCUGGCGGCCCGAGGACCCCUUAGUCCCCGACUCCCUCACUAGCCCCCGAACUAGCCAUCAAUGGCAUACCCUUGAUCCUUAGCGCCAUGCGUCCAAAGUCUUCGUCACGCGGGGUGAUUCUUCUCCCCAUUUAUGUUCGGGCAACACCAGUUCGGCCACUAAUGACUUCCCGAUUUUCGAGCAUAGGUGUUCAAGUUGAGGAUGCUCCUCGAUUCUUCCAAACUGUUCUUCAUCUUCAGUUGUCGGUCUUGAAAACUGGUUCAACAAAUCUUCCCAUCUCUGAUCUUGAGGAUCGCCAGGGUGAAUUCGAAGAGUUUCACACAUCGGGUAUUCAAGGAGCCCCUUUAAGUUUUCGGCUUUGGUUAAGGCCUUGUAAUUUUUCAUGUCACACCUCGGGUUUGAAAUGUUUCCCGUGUGGCGGUGUCCUCUUGCGUCCGAGCUCCAACGCCGAACUGCAUCUGAGGUGUCUUUUUUCAGCCGAGCUCAAACGCUGGUCGGCAUCCGAGGUGUCAUAUAUUACCUCGGUCUAUGAAAAUUUGAAGGAAUUCAUCCGAGCUUAAAUGCCACAAUAGUAUUUUAUGGAGCGAGCCAUUCGCAUCCGAGCUAUAUGCCACACUGUUUCCGAGGUGGUGCGCCACCUUAGCCGUGGGAUGCUUUUUUGCAAAAAAAAAAAUCCGAUUGGUGUAGUUUAUUUACUACCGAGAUGUAUAGACAAUAGCAAUCAAGGUGUGUGUCGGUCUAAACUCGAGAUGCACCUGAAGGAUAAAAGUGAAAACCGCUGAGCUUAAUAGCCCCCGAGACUCAGGUCGAUUCGUGAUCUUGGUGGGAGGAUCAAUUCUUUACUCGGCAACAUACGUUAGGAAUAAGAAAACUAUGUGCAGUAGCCCCUAAGACUCAGGAUGGGUGCGGCGGACCAACGUGAGGAUCGAAUCUCCUCCGAAACCAUAUUGCACUUUUUGUGUAUGUUUUAACAACGCCAAGGUGCAGAUUGUUCGGAAAGAUGUCAAACUGCGGAAGGAAAAGAUUUUUCGGAUGAUGUAUUUUUCUCUGAUGGGGUGUAUAACCAAUAGCCCCCGAGACUUGGAUUGGCCAACAUGGCCGACACUAGGAUCGUAUCUCCUCAGGAACUAUUUCAUCCAUUAAGUGUGUUUUGACAACACCUAGGUGGAGCCCGGUAGGGAAGAUGUCAAACUGUAGGUCAGAAAAAAAUUCUCCAAGAAGAAUCACCAUGCAGAACACCUUGAACAAGAAAAUCUCCCACCUCCUGAAAGAAAAAAAAGUAUAAAUAGGAUAAAGGUGCCAUAAGCUCAACAAUACCAAAAAACUUUAGCAAAAACAUUACGUUCCGAGUUAAAUCAAGUUUCUUUCAGGUGUGCAAUAGCCUCUGAGACUCAGGUUGCGUGCGGCGACCAACCUGAGGAUCGAAUCUCCUCAGAAAUUGUAUUGCACUCUGAAUUUCCUGCAUUGAAUAAGCAAUGCAGUAGCCCCCGAGCCUUAAUUUGGGCAUGGGUGGUCGAAUUAAGGAUCGAUAUUUGUUUGACACAAACUUUGUUACGUUUGACACAAUUGAAGUGUAAUGAUUCUCUGUAUCCAAGUACUAUGCAUCAUUAAUGCUUGAAUUCGCAUUGUACAACACUUUGUUGACCGACCAUUGGCUUCAACCUCUUUGGCCAGUAGUCAAGAAGUGUUUGUCCUACUUUAUAAUUCCUUUAUAAGGAUAAAGAUUUAUAGCAAAUAAGGCAAUCCGUCCAUACGGUUUUAUAAACAAAGGUAUGCGGAGAGAUUACUUAUUUAUCAAAAAAACAUCUUUUGGGAAAAAAAGUUCGUUUAUAAGUUCCUUUUCCCAGGAUAUUAUGUUUGACCAUGAUCUUGAAACCUCAACUCUGAUCAAUGUGGGAGGAAUAUAUUGAGGAUUUAGUUCGAGAAAUGUUCCCGAACUCUGUGGUCUUUAAUGAAAUGAAAUUUUCACUUCCAUUGUUGUCCACCAAUUAUAUUCUUAAGAUGUGUAGCUUUUGGCUUCACCUAGUCUGAGGUACUAACCGAAUAAUCACAUAAGUGCUCCCUUUACCCCCUAGCCGAACAAUUGGGAACGUAGGGGGUAAGCACAGGAGCCCUGCAACCAAGCUUGGCCAAAAUCUUAAGUCAAAUUGAUGCAUAUUUAUGGCUUUAUAACGUUGAUUAUGGAAGGCAGCAGUCGCAUAUUGAAUACAAAUGCUUUUACGCUAUAUGCUAUUUUGACUCCAUUGCGAUUGUUUAUAAUCUGAAAGUGAUCUAUUGUCGGCUUCCACCCCUUUGUAGAUACUACGUAGUGUGUUUCGUACUAACAAGGCAACCCUUAGCCCACGUAUCGGUGCCCAGAGGCGGUUGUGUUUAGUGGAAACAAAGCAAUCGAAUAUUCAGGCUUUAUAACUUUCACUAAGUCAUAGGAGCUUUUAAGUAGGGAGGCGAGUUACUAUCCCGGGUUAGGGUUUGGCGUCAGCCGAGGUUGAUCCAUUAACACUUCGGCUAAUUUUAUGUAAGGCCCACGAGGUAACCUCUACCAGUCUAUAGUUUAAUAGAGUCGUCGGGUCGCUAACCAGCUUGCACUCAUUGUGACGAUUAGUUUUCAGCUUUGUCCACUUAGGUACUUGACUAGUCAAAUUGAAAGUAUAAUCAUAGUGGGUCAGCCUUUCGCUUCAUGAUUAUGUACGGACAUGAUGUAUUAUUUAAAUCAAUUUUUUUGGUGCCAAUCAAAAAUUAGUCUUUUUAAAAACUAAUAUGUGCUUCGGUCAUGCUUUAACAGGUUACAUGCUAUCUCCAGACUUCAAGUGGGUCAGCCUUUCGCUUCAACAUCCAUAUCCCGAAGGCGGACUGUUUCUUCGAGGCGUGUUUAGCGAACUAAACUCGAGUGGCUUUACAAAGAAACUAGGCUAUGCAGCUAUUGAUCACACACUAGUGUCGGAAAAAAGAUUACUAGAAAAAGACUUUGCAACGACCAAGAAGAAAAAACAUUUAUUUAUAAAAUGGCUCAUAUAAUUGCCCCGAGGUAAAAUGGGUAAAGGAAGUGUUUUUAACAAACAAUGCUUUUAACAAGCUAAGUUUUUAACAAACGACUUUUGUGUUUAACACAAAUAUAAUUCUUGGUUGAAUCACACAGAAAUUGAAAUUGAAAAAAGGUUGAGCUUGAAAACGACUUAGCUGGUUAACAUGCUCGGCGUGACGUGGGCCGAGCUAUGGCGGGUCAAGGUCCUAGCCCCAAGCCGGUGAAGAGGUAGCCAAUGAAGAGCUCGUCUUGACGAAGUGAUAACACCACACUUUGGUAGGGCCGAGGUGAAACCCACGGUCCAGUCGAGGAGAUAGAGUAGUUCAGUAGUAUGAUGGCGAAGCCUCCACGUCAAUCGAUCAUGUCGACGACAUAAUUUGGUUGAUGGAGGCAUGACGAGGAUGUCAGCGCGUCGAGGUGACUAUCUAACACCGUCGGAUCCGAUCACCUAUGCACAUAAAAUAAUGCAAGCCAAAAUUAAUAUCAAAUAAUAAUAAAAUUCCUCUACUUAAUUAACUUAAGUGAAGUAAAUAAUUAGAAAAAUGUAGCGUGAGUGGCAAGGUUCCCGAGCGAAGAGCUCGGCUUUAUGAAGUCCCGAUGCGGCACGAUCGAUGUGGCGAGGCGAAGCCCCCGGUCCAACUAACAUGAUGAAGCUUUUCGGCCGGUGAUGUCAAAAUCCCCGAAGCAGGUUGAUGAAGAGACGACGAAGCCCUCGGUCUAGCUAAGGUGAUGGAGUAGUUCGAUAACGUGGCAUUAGAUCCCCCAUGCCAGCCAACGUGUCGAAGCAGGUCGGCGUGUUAAACGUUGGUUUGAAGAAAAUGAUGGUGAGGCAAUGCCGACGCAGAUCAGAAUUUGUGACUCAGUUAAUGCUCGCUUGAUGGAGCAACAACGCACCCGACCCAUGCAAUCGAUGGGUGACAAGCUUCUCUCAAUGAUUAUUUGGCCCAUGCGAUGCCAAACACUUGGUCGGCUCGUUGAGGUGAUGAUCCGAGUUGGUUGUUGCUAGCUCGAUAGAGGAGCGACACAGUCGAUGCCGGCCUCGCUCGAAAGCUGUGGAGCAACAUUAUCGGGUCGGUUUGACACCAGCGCGAGGGUGAAGAUUGCCUUUGAAAAGGUUUAAAAUUUAUGGCAUGUGUUUUAGAACAACACAUAAUACCUUUAAAAUAUUCCUUCAAUAAGGAUUUCCAAAACUGCGUUCAUGAAGAAAGAUGAACUCGGGUAGGAUUCACUUUCGCGAAGAGAACAUAUCCAAAAUUUGUUGUGCUCAUUGGAUGUUUACGAGAGUUUGGACGGUUGGAUCGGGCUGAAAUUUGGAGUGGUUAUCGAUAUAGGAAUUCCGCAGCCGGUAAAUGGUGGGAUUUUCCAAAAGAUAUCCGAGCUGGAUAUACUUGACCCCUCGCCCUAAACUCAUCCAGAUUCCCGUCCGGAUUCGACACUGCUCCGGUAUAUCGGAGAUCGCUGGAGAUUCCUUAAUCGGAAUGCGACGAAAUUUUGUAGAGUUGUUGUAGAUACAAUUCAGCACUUCCACUGAACCAAUCAUCAAAGCGGAGCUCAAGGAAACGGGGACAACAAACACAAUUUUUCUGUCCAGAAAAAACCGCAAUCAAUCUACAGAGGGGCCAUCAAUCCUUCUGCCGAUCACAUAGCGGAACCCUCAAUGAAAGCACCAUUGUCGGUGUCAAACCGACGGAUCUCGGGUAGGGGUUUCCGAGUUGUGGACAUGGGAUCGAUGGUAACAAGGGACGAAGGAGACGAUGUUAACCAAGGUUCGGGCCCUCUUGAUGGAGGUACAACCCUACGCCAUGCUCUUGUUUAUAUUGAUGAUGGAGUAUCGAAUACAUAGUUGAUCUACCUCGAGAUCGUAUGUUGUGGUCUAAACCCUAAUGAUGUAGAAUUUGUGUCUAAUAAAUAUCUAUCAACUAGCGUGAUGUGGGCUUAUAUAUCCCACCGGAGGCCUAGGAUAACAAGAUUCCUAGUCGGAUACAUUGGUGGAGACGAGUCCUUAUCUUGAUAACCAAGUCUUAUGGAAUCUUCCUCGUAUAUCUCAUUGGCUGCCCGGAGUAGCCCAAGAUUCUGGCCCAUAAAGAUAGGUCAGCGGCCUGAUGACCCCUUAGUACCGGACUACCUGAACGACCGACUAGCUACACUACAGAGUUAUCAUCACGAAUGCCUUACGAGGUAUCACCCUCGACACUCGAUAGUAGCUCUUAAGAGUCGUACAACUAAGGGCGUGUGAGGUCAUGUGUCAGGCUCAGGAUGUAGUUCACGUUGAUGGAGUCAUCAAUGGUAAAGCGGGGGUAACAAGAAUAAGGUGAGGGGUUACUGGUGGAUCACUUACCAACCUAUACUAAGCAUAUAGGGUUAGAAGGUAGGACACAAUAGUAAGUUACAAAAUCAGGCUAUGCAUCAUAAUGGGAGUAAUCUAAUAAAAUAGCGAAUUCUAAUGCAAUCAUGAGAGAGAAGAAAUUGGACAAUAUAGGAAUGAUCAAGGCGGUUUUCCUUGCCUGGAAGCUUUGCUUCAAGUGGCCGGACGUCAAAGGCGUGGUCGUAAUCGGGAGGAGCGUCCGUCUCGGGUCUACCAGAGAGAAGAGGGGGAAUAAUUAAUAAAUAGAAAGAAAUCAAUGCCAUCACACGAAUCAUAUGGCAAUAUGCAAUGCUAAGAGUGGCCUAAGGUAGUGCUACAUGUUACAAACGAAGCAUGAAAACAUCUAGGGAUAAUUUCCCGGUGUUUGGCAGUUUUCGGACAGAUGAAUCGGAGGGCGUCCAUGUUCAUCCUGUUACAGGCAUGUGGCAACAGAAUGGUGUGCAUAUUCAGAUUCAUUAUAUUUUUCUGAGCAAUUUUCAUAUAUCAAUUUUUUUUCAUCCGAGUUGCAGAUUAUUUUAUAUGAUUUUUAAGGAUUCAAACAUUUUAUCAAAUUUAUUCAAUAUCAAAAUCAAUAGUCAAAUUGCUAAGUGAACACAUAAAUGUGUAUACACGAGAGGGUUGUGGUGGUGAUAGUGGACCGAGUUGACUAUGUCAACUGCUAGUGAGCAGAGGCUGCCUGGUGGACCCAGCUGCUGACCCAACAACUCACCAGGCCGACCCUAUCCAUUUAAAUAGUGGGCUAGACAUGUCAUACAUAGUGAGUUUAACAAGGAGUUUAACUUAUUUAGGUGGGUUCAUUAGAGGAUUGGUCCCCGUGUUAGUGUGUAGGUUAGUUAGUUAGGGGAGUGGGGUCGAGGUGUCAAUGAGGCUCAGGGGGGUAGUUAGUGACUAAUUAGCCACUAACGGCCUAGGCCCGCAUGUCAGUGCGUCAGGUAGGUCGUUAGUGGCCCUGGCCCACGUGGCAGUGGCACGGCUCGCUCGCUUGCCGGCGGCGAAGUGUUGACAACCAAUACAGCGGCGACGCGGCUUGGGCUUCGUCGGAAAAUGGCUACGGGCGCCCAUUUGGCACGCGGCCGGCCGCAUUCGAGCGAGGGGUCCACGACACGUCGAUCUACGGAGGUGACAUGGCAGGAGGUGGUCUACAGCAAAGGCGGCAACUAGCGGGGCAGCUAUCGGAGUCGGGCGAAGAUGGAUGCGGGGCUACGGGGCAUGCGGCGAAGCGCGGGUGGGUGUGUUCUAACGCGCGUAGCACACCAUGUCGAACCGUGCUGGUUGCAGCUGCUAAGGGGCGAGAGUCCAUGGCGGUGUUCGGACCCCAUUCGAAUACUUGGUGGGAGCGGCCUAGGGGGUUCAGCGCGGGCCCCACACGACGCUGCACGCGCUCUGUAGCGCGCCAAUGGUCGGCUAGGUAAUCAGGAGCACGCUUGGCGCGCAUGCGACGAUUUUCGCGGACGGCGGAGCUCGGCAACACCGUGGGGAGGAUAAGGAUACGAAGAGGCACAUGUGAGAGAUGGAGUAUUGCGUCUCACUUACAUUGUACAGAACGCGCGCGGAUGGCUCGACGUGGCCGGAGUCGGAGAAGAACGUCGGGACCGACGGGGAAAAAAUGACGAUGUGGCGGUGCUGGAUUUCCUUCCAGCUCGUGCGUGUUGUCGAGAAUGACAAGGUGGAGGACGGUGGGGCUUCAAGGCAUGACAGUGAGGUGAGAGGUGGCCAGUGGACGCGCAAGUGACGGCGGGAGGCGACGCAGUGGCGCGAGCGAGGCAGAUGUGGAGGAGGGGACGCAGAGAGCAAGAGUGUGAGCGAGUGGGAGAGAGGAUCGAGGCAUUAGAGGGUCGUGGAGCCCUUAUCCUCUCCCGGAGAGGCCGGCGAGGUGGUCGAGCGGCAACAGCCGUGGCGCGUGCGCCCUCAAUCGGCUUCAUGUAGCAGGAGUUGAAGCCGACUAGGGCUGGUGGGCUGGGCCUCAACGGGCUACGCACUCUUCACUAAGGACAGUGAUCUGUGCCGGCGCGUCGGUCGAAACUUUGGGCCGGUCGCGCGCAGGCCGCACGAUCCACCUACCCUCGCGCGUCCGCAACGUUGGAUUUUCAUGCAACAUUUUUUCUUCGAUGCAGCAAAUUUUCGAUGCGAUACAAUAAUUUUUUCAACGAUUGCAACAAAAAACAAAAUUUAUAGCAAAAAACAUAUCUACGUGAUCGUAGCAAAAAAACCAAACUGAUGGUACGUGGUAGCAAAAGUGAAACGUCGGUUGUAACAAAUAUUUACGUGACGUGUAUGCAACUUUUUUAGUGAACAGUUGGAGCAAAAAAUUAUGCCGGUUGUAGCAAAAAUAAACAUGGUUAUAGCAAAAGUAAAACACAUCGAUUGUAACGAAAAAUUCGAAGAACUGAAGUUGCAACCAAACGUAUAUGCAAGUUUUUUACUGGACAAAUAUAGGGAAAAAAGAAUGCUUGCAGGAAAUAUGACGCCGGUUACAACAAUUUAAACAAAAAAAGUUACAUGCCCAGUCAGCGGGCGCGCGCGGUCGCGUGCGGACGACCGAACGGUUUGACCGGCGCACCGGCCAGAAACGAUUCCCCUUCACUAAGGCCUAGUGCAUAGUGGCGUGUGACCUUUUCCUUGUAAUUCUUUUGUUUUUUUAUUUUUAUUUUUAUUUUUUAAUUAUUUCAAACAUCAAAUAGGUUUAGUAAAAUAUGGAACUUGGCCCAUUGUUAGUAAUGCAAUAUUACGCACUCCCACAGAAAGUUUGGAAGGCUUUUAAAUUAGUUUGGAAUUAGUAUAAAUUUUAAAAGUAUUUAAAAUUAUUGCUAUGGCCUCUAUUUUAAUUAUUUUAGGACACUUAAACACUUUAGAAAAAAUUGGUUUCUCCACCAUAAUUAUCUAUGGAUUAUUUGUCACAAUAGAACACUUUAGUUUUCACGGUUUUGAAUUUCUUUAGAUCACCUAUAAUUUGAAUUGAUUCCAAAAGUGAAAAUUGAAAUGAGAUAUGAUUCAAAGAUAAUCAAGACCAGUUAAUCAAAGUAGCUUAGCUUAAUGAUGGUGCUCACUGGAACUCAUUACAUAAGGGUGUUACAACUUGGUCCCGUGUCGAGGGAUCUGAUGGUAUUUUGCACGGUCACUUGCUUCGCACUUAAGGCGAGAGAGUUUGACAUGAGGUAUUUGGUUCCGAAUAUCUCAUCGGAUGUCGUAAAGGCUCCAGGUGCUUGUUUUUGUUGAUUGUCGAGUAUUCCUCAGAUACCUGACGAACAAUUCUUACUGACCGAGGCUCAACUAUUUUCGAGGGAAGGAUGGAAAGAUUGUUGAACCCUCCUCCAAGAUUGAAGACUAGAGAUAGAGAAAACCUCGGAGAUCGAAGAGUGUUCUCGACUUGAAAAUCGGUUCAAGGGCAACUGAGGGUGUCCUUCACUAGGGAUUGGUAGACACGUCGGCUGCCGAGGGUAUGUGCUUGGCCGAGGGCUACCUAGACUAUCAGCCAGCGGGUCGCGUUUGUUAGGCCCCAAAGGAUCAAGGAGGAAUCUAUAAAAAAAUUGAUGCACACUCGAUCACUUAUAGGCAAUCUUUGGUAUGCUUAUCCUUUAGAUGCAACCUACCUAUGUGUAAACCUAAACACCGCCGGUGUCUGUAUAAACCGAGGGGUGAAGACAUAGACAUUGUCACAUCCACACAGAGUCUCAUGAUAGAUCUACGUGUACUCUCUACCUCCUCAAUCAUAUGAUAAAAUCAGAAAGGAAGUAGUGUGUUAUCUUUUGGAGAGAGUUCGAACCUACCUAAAUCAUGUGUCUCUUUUACCAUUGUGAAAGGCUACCAGCUCGGAACCCCUAACCGAUGACUCCAUUUGUUGGAUGACCCAAACGAAUAACUGAUUUUAUCUUCAAAUAGGACUGGUUGUGUUAUGACCAGCAUCACUUAUAGCCGGAGGAGGACCAAUGGGCACGUUUAGUUAGGGGCUUAGCCCAAGUUAUCUUAUUUUUAUUAACAUCGAGAUUAUAUAAACAGUUGUAAGGCACCCUUUUGGAAUUAAUCAAUAAGACAUAUUAUAUUGCCCGACUCCUAGAGGAGCCGGAAUCCCUAACCCUAGCCGCCACCUCCCCUCCGUGCGAGACGGCGCCCUCGCGCUGGCCGCCACGCUCACGCCCACGCAAGCUCCCCUCCUUUCCCUACAAUGUCGGGUUGAGGCCCGGUAGGACCCUAGCUCCUAUGAGUUUGGUAUCCACAGGCUUUAGUUCGGUCAUGUCUUCGCCGCCGCCCAAACUAUCCCUCCCGCUGCCGACAUCGACCACCGCCCCGAUGGCCACCACGGCCGGUGAUACGUCUCCGUCGUAUCUACUUUUCCGAACUCUUUUGCCCUUGUUUUGGACUCUAAUUUGCAUGAUUUGAAUGGAACUAACCCGGACUGACGCUGUUUUCAGUAGAAUUGACAUGGUGUUGUUUUUCUGCUGAAAUAAAAGUUCUCGGAACAUCUUCAAAAUUUACGAAGAUUUUUUAUGGAAUAAAAGAAAAAUACCUGUGCAAAGAUCCACCGGAGGAGGUGGACCAGUGAGCCACAAGCCCGCAGGCCGCGUUAUAGUUGUUACAUGAUGAAUCACAUCCGUCAUACUCAUCCAUCACCGAUCCACUGCCUACGAGCCUUUUACUACGUUACUUUGUCUAGGCUUGUCCCUUGCUACAAAAGGGAUUGGGCCACUUUGCUCCUACUGUUACUACUACUGCCACUUUGCUGCUACUGUUACUACUGCUGUUACUUUGCUGCUGCUGCUACUGCUGUUCCUUGCUACUUCGUUGUUACUUGUUGCAACACUUUUCUGGAGCCGUAGCCGGGGAAGCAUUCUUCUCAAGAAUAAUCCCCCGUCAACAUGCUAUUUACUGGCGCCAUUGAUACAACAGUUAGGAAUAGUCUGCUGUCAACAGAUCGUUUCUGGCACCGUUGCUAUCAUACUACUUUGCUACUGAUACUUUGCUUGCAGACACUAAUGUUUCAGGUGUGGUUGAAUCUGAUAAACUCAGCUGCUAAUACUUGAGAAUAUUCUUUAGCUUCCCCUUGUGAGCGAAUCAAAAAAAAUUGGGUCGAAUACUCUACCCUUGAAAACUGUUGCGAUCCCCUACACUUGUGGGUUAUCAAGACCUUUUUCUGGCGCCGUUGCCUGGGGAGCACGGAUAUAUUCUCUGAUUCACUUGGGAUUUACGUCUGUUGAUCACUAUGACGAAUCCGAAAGAUCCAAGAACUAAAAUCUUGCCUUCCACUACGAGGAGAGGUAAGGAAAUGCCAUCUAGCUCUGCACUUGUUUCUCCUUGAGUUAUGAGUAAGUUUGCGACAUCACCUCCUGCUAGAAAUCUUGAUAUGUCGCAUGUGCUUGAUGAUUCUAUGCUUGAUACUAUGCCUGAUGAUGCUAUGCUUGAUACUGCUUUGCCACUAGGUGCCCUUGAUGCACAAAUUGCUAGAGUUGCUGCUAGAUGUGAUGGUACUUCCGAAACUGCUGAUACUAUUGAAGUAGAACCUGCUACUAUGCCUGAAUUGCCUGUUAUGCCUGAUACGCGCUAUGUUAUGGAGGGAGAGAUAGCUGAGGACUUUCUUGCGCGUAAGGAUAGCUAUGAUGUUGAGAAAUUACGGCACAAGUGGAAAGAAAAAUCUCUAAACGCUAGGAUGAAAUACGACCCGAAGUUUGCCACUUCGCCUAUCUUUGUGACCGAUAAGGAUUAUGAAUUCUCUGUCGACCCUGAGUUAAUCACUCUGGUCGAAUCUGAUCCUUUUCACGGUUAUGAGUCUGAUACAGUUGUAGCCCAUCUCACCAAACUGCACGAUAUAGCCACCCUAUUCACUAGUGAGGAAAAGAUCCGCCACUACUACAUGCUCAACCUGUUUCCUUUCUCUCUAAAGGAUGAUGCUAAGACUUGUUUCACUUCUCGUUCUCCUAGUUGUGUGCGUAGCCCCCAGGAUAUGGUCUACUACUUCUCUGAGAAAUAUUUCCCUGCCCAUAAGAAGCAAGCUGCCUUGUAGGAAAUAUACAACUUUGCUCAAGCUGAAGUAGAGAGUCUCCUACAAGCUUGGGGGAGGCUCAUCCAACUACUGAAUGCUUUGCCUCAUCACCCUCUUGAGAAGAAUGAAAUACUUGAUAUAUUCUAUAAUGGACUUACCGAUGCUUCCAAAGACCACCUAGAUAGUUGUGCUGGUAGUGUUUUUAGGGAACGAACCGUAUAACAAGCUGAGAUUCUAUUGAAUAACAUCUUGUGCAAUGAGAAUGCUUGGACUAUUCCCGAACCACCUCCUAAGCCAACUACAAAGAAAAGAGGUAUUAUAUUCCUCAGUCCUGAAGAUAUGCAAGAAGCCAAGAAAUCUAUGCGAGAGAAAGGCAUUAAAUCUGAAGAUGUCAAAAAUCUACCACCUAUCGAAGAGAUCCAUGGUCUCGAUAACCCGAUACAGGUAGUAGAAAUAAAUUCUCUGCGUAGGUUUGAUGAGAGUGAUAUUCAUUUUGAUAAACCUGCAAGCUUAUGCCUGGAUGAAUUUGAUAACUUCGUUGCAAAACAACAGAAUUUCAAUGAUUAUGUUAGCAGACAAUUGGAACAGAAUGCUCGUAUGCUUAGUCAUUUAAGUGCUUGUGUGGACAAAAAUGUCAAUGAUCUUAAGCUUCUGAGUAAACAUGCCUCUAUGGUUACUACUCAGAUAGAACAAGUACUUAAAGCUCAAAAUGACUUGCUCAAUGAGUUGAAUGACAAUUCCGUCAAAGUCGUUACUAGAGGCGGUAGAAUGACCCAGGAACCUCUGUAUCCUGAGGGUCAUCCGAAGAGAAUUGAACAAGCUUCUCAAGGAUUUAGCACUGAUGCACCUAGUCAUCCCAGAAAGAAGAAGAAAGAUGAUAGGAACCUGCACGCUAGCAACCCUGUUGCUGCUACACCUGAGAGUCCAAACGAUGCCUCUGUCUCUGAUGCUGAAACACAAUCUGGUGAUGAACAUGAGCCUAAUGAUAAUAUCAAUAGUGAUGUUCAUGAUGAUGCUCAACCUAGCAAUGAAAAGGAUGUGGAGAUUGAACCUGUUGAUCUUGAUAACCCAUAGCCUAAGAAUAAGAGAUACGAUAAGAAUGACUUCGCUGCUAGGAAGCACGGUAAAGAAAGGGAACCAUGGGUUCAGAAACCUAUGCCCUUUCCUCCCAAACCAUCUAAGAAAAAAGAUGAUGAGGAUUUUGAGCACUUCGUUGAGAUGAUUAGACCUGUCUUUCUGCAGAUGCAUUUGACAGAUAUGCUCAAAAUGUCUCCGUGUACUAAGUACAUGAAAGAUAUUGUGACUAAUAAGAGGAGGAUACCUGAGGUUGAGAUUUCCAACAUGCUCGCUAAUUAUACCUUCAAGGUUGGAACUCCUAAGAAACUAGGUGAUCCCGGUGUGCCCACUAUACCUUGCUCCAUUAAAGGCAACUACGUUAGAACUGUGUUAUGCGACCUUGGAGCCGGUGUUAGUGUUAUGCCUCUCUCUGGAUAAGUUGAUACCCACUAAAAUCUCUCUGCAAAUGGCCGAAAAAUCAACUGCUUCCCCUAUCGGCAUUUGCGAGGAUGUGCCUGUUGUGGUUGCUAACACCACUAUCUUAACAGACUUUGUUCUCUUGGAUAUUCCCGAGGACGAUGCCAUGGCUGUCAUCCUCGGAAGACCCGUUUUAAACACUGUAGGAGUUGUUAUAGAUUGCAACAAAGGAAUGUCACUUUCCAUGUCAACAGUAAUGAGCAUACGGGGCACUUUCCGAAGAAACAAUAUCGAGUACAUUGCAUCAAUGCUAUCGAAAAGACUUCAUUGAUUCUUAUUGGGAGCUUUGAAUGCCCUAUUCCUCGUGUCAAGAUGAAGUAUGAUUUGCUUGUUGGGGAGAUACACAUCCCCAUUGAGGUGACCUAGUGACUAUUCGAAAAUUCUCCUCUCUCUUUUGUGAUUCGAAAAGGUUUGUGGAGGAGACUUGAUCAACCUCACUGACAGAUUUCUUUCGAUGACCAUGAGAUGGAUGAAUCGAGGAGUCACAAACCUCUGUUCCAAGAUUUCACUUUAGGUUGCUUAGAAGAAAAAUGAUAGAUUUAGUUUAGUUUUCCCUAUUUUCUGUUUUAGCGUCCGGUAGAAAAGUACCCCGAAAAUAAAAUUUCUCCGAACAAUGUGGAAAUCAAGUAUGAUUUUUUCUGGAUUUUUUGAAAAAUACUGGGACAAAGAGUCUGUCUGGGGGCACACUAGUGGGCCACAAACCCUAGGGGCGCGGGCACCCCCUGGCCGCGCCACCCAGUCUUGUGGGGCCCACAGGCACCCCCUCCACUCAUUCUUGCUCUCAUCUGGUUCUCCUACCUCCAUAAAAAAUCGUUUCGCAGCUCAAACCCGUGUUCUUGCUCCUCUUGCUGGGAUUUUCGAUCUCUUUGCUCAAAUCAUCGUUCUCCGAACUGUUUUGGGGAAAUUACUCCUUGGUAAGUGACUCCUCCAUUGGUCCAAUUAGUUUUUGCUCUAGUGCCUUAUACUCCGCGUAUUUUUGCUGCCUUGGUGACCAUGUUCUGGAGCUUUGCAUGCUAAUUCUAGCUGGUCUCAAGUAGUUUUGAUGCGUAAUAUGGCCUCUGGGCACUUGUGGGAGUAGUUGCUAUGAGUUUUGUUAGGCCUUAUUCACUUUUCCUUAGAAUCACUAAAAAUUUCAGAAAAUUUUCAGAGAUAGGAAAAGGGAAAAGAUGAGGAGGUUCUUAAGAGGCUCGUCAAGCCGUGACCCCAAGGAUGAUGGGAGUGAGAAGAAGCCCAAGUAUUUGGUCCCUCGAGUCGCAGAAGUUCGAGCAUGCGAGUGGCCAAGCGACGUGUUCUUAUGCGCCGCUGGAAUUUAUGAAGACUUUUAUCACUUGGUGGAAAUCGCAUGCCUUACCGCCUUCGUUGAAGAUAAGUGUCCGCAAUACCUCCUCCUCACUAAUAUCUUCAUACAAAGCUUUAACUUAUAUCUGAGGAAGAAUCCUCCUAUGGUUGAGUUCAAACUUUAUGAUAUCCCCCAGCGCAUGUCACUCCAGGAUUUUUGCAAUGUUUGCAAAUUGCCUUUUGUUGGGGAUAUUCAUGAACCUCGUCCAUGGAACUUGGAAGCUUUCAUCGGUACAAUUGUUGUAGGAGAGGAGAGAGGAGUGUCUUGCGCUAGAGCUGCUAGCAUUCAUUUUCUCGUGCUUCGGUACUUCUCAUUAUUUGUGGGAAAAUGUUUGAUUGGCCGUGGGAAAGCUGGGUCACUUAGUUCCAUAGAUCUUGCGGUCUUGCGCGAAGCCCUUUAUAACGAUAAAACUUAUAGCUUGGGCGCCAUAGUAGCUCAACGGUUGGACCUGAACCGUUCUAAAGGUGUUGUCUAUGGAGGUAUCUAUGCUACUCGUCUUGCCAGACACUUUGAGAUACCUAUUAGACUGGAGGAGGGAGAAGAGGUUCUUCUUCCCGAGAGAUAUCUAAAUUACGAUAGCAUGGUUCACCAUGACUUUCUUGAUAGAGAUAUAAAUAGAAGGAUGAUUUAUAACCUGGUAUUUAGUCUGGGUACUCGUGAGACUAUUACUUUGCCUGCUCCUUCUUUGUUCAAUCUUCAUGCACGCAGGUACAUUAUUAUGCCCUCGGACAUCUACGCAUAUUGGGGCUUAUCCCAACCACAGGUGCCCGUGCCCGAGCCGCCAGUCGAGUACGAGAUGCCAGUUUAUCAGUGGGAGCCGGAGGAGCUCACACAGCAGUGACAUCCUCAGUCCACUCCGGAGUACCCCGGAGCUGGUUAUUUCCCUCCACAGGAGUAGACCAACAUAGGCCAAAAUCCUAAGCUUGGGGGAGUACGUGUUCUCACUGACUUUACAUUCUUGCUUAUGCUUUCACUUUGUUAGCCGGUGUUCACACUUUGCCACUUUAUCAUCCAUGCUAGUUUAUUUCCUUCUUCUCGUUUUCGUUUUGUGUGUUUGUCUAGUUUGAGAAAACCCAAAAAGAUUUUCCUUUUCUUCUUUUGCUUGUUGGGAGAUUUCCCGUGUAGAUAGUUUUCUUUUUCUUUGGGUCAAGGUAGAAGAUAUUGGUUAAAAUGUUUAGUGGCUCUUGCAUGGAUACCUGUUUAGCUUUCAAAGAGCCACAUUACUUUGUCUUCUCCUUUGUGUUUGCCUACAGAUUCCAGCUUUAGUCCAAUGCACGAGCACGCUUAUUAUUGUUCAUACGUUCGGUCAUGCAAGUGAAAGGCAAUAAUGACGAUAUAUGAUGAAGUGACUGAGCCUGGAAAAGCUGGUAUGAACCCGAUCUAUUUUGUUUUUGUAAAUAUGACUAGCUCAUCAUGCCUGAUUCAGCUUUGUUGUGAGAGAAACAUGUUUGCAAUGACAACUUAGAGAUCAUAGUUUCUUAUGCCAUGCUUACUUAGCUAGGAGCUUAUAAUGGUUUGUCUUGGUUGCCAACAUGAAUGUUGAGAUGACUAUGAUGUAGUAUGAUAGGAUGGUAUCCUACUUUGAAUGUUUCAAGUGGCUUGACUUGGCGCAUGUUCAUGCAUGUAGUUGAAACAAAAUCAACAUAGCCUCUAUGAUAUUCAUGUUCAUGGUGAUUUAUGUCCUACUCAUGCUUGCACUCAAUGUUAGUUAAUCUCAAUGCAUUUUGAUGACUAUUGUCGCUCUCUAGUUGGUCGCUUCCCAGUCUUUUGCUAGCCUUCACUUGUACUAAGCGGGAAUACUACUUGUGCAUCCACUUCCAUAAACCCAAAGUUGUUCCAUAUGAGUCCACCAUACCUACCUAUGUGCGGUAUCUACCUGCCGUUCCAAGUAAAUUUGCAUGUGCCACUCUCUAAAUCUUCAUGAAAUAAUCUGUUUUGCAUGCCCGAACCGCUCAUGUGGUGACAGGGGGCUAUUGGUAUCUUCCAUGCUAGGCGUGUUAUCCUCGAUAUGUGUUUAUUCACUAUCAUUCACGAGAAAGGGGCCGGUAAUUGGAAUUCCCAGUUCCAUGCUCAAAUCGAAAAGGUAAUUGCAGACAAAACUCCCCCAGGAUUGAUGUUGGUAUGGACGGUACCCGAGGAUUCGGCUAGCUAUGGAGUGUGAUUGAUUGGUGGUGGGGGAGUCAAAACUUUACUUUUCUGUUUGGGAACCGCCUAUAGCAUGUGUAGCGUGGAAGAUGUUGAGAACUCUUAGUCAUUGCGUUGACAAUGAAAGCAUGCCACACAAAAUUAUUAUCGAUCUUUGUUUAAAAGCUUGAGCUCUAGCACCUCUGCAAAUCAUUGCUUCCCUCUGCGAAGGACCUGUCUAUUUAUGUUCCUGUUGAGUCAUCCUCCUCUUACAAAAGCACCAAUUAAAGAGCACCUCUGUCAUUUUUAUGCUUUGCUUUUAACUGUGUUGAGUAUGACUAUGACUGGAUCUUCAUUGCCAUGAAUUACAAUGUUUAGUCAGCCCUUGGUAUUUGAAGGUGCUCUGCAUUUAUGUUUUGCGGUCUCGGAAAGAGCUAGCGAGAUACCAUCUAUUCGUACUGCUUUAUGUUGUUUUGAUUGAAGUGUUGACGUUCGAGACUUAUUAUUAUUUGCUCGCUAGUUGAUUAUGCCAUUGAUAUGAGUUUACCGUGAGACCUAGAUGUCAUUUGUUUUUGUGGUUUGCUUGUUAUCUUGCUGAAAUUCUGGAUAUGAGUUAGACAUAGUUGCAACAACAAGAUCAAACAGAGUUCGUCAAAGUUUUUCUUUUGUCUCUUUCAGUUUGUCAACUGAAUUGCUUGAGGACCAGCAAGGCUUUAAGCUUGGGGGAGUUGAUAUGUCUCCAUCAUAUCUACUUUUCCGAACUCUUUUGCCCUUGUUUUGGACUCUAAUUUGCAUGAUUUGAAUGGAACUAACCCGGACUAACGCUGUUUUCAGCAGAAUUGCCAAGGUGUUGUUUUUGUGCAGAAAUAAAAGUUCUCAGAACGUCCUGAAAAUUUACGGAGAUUUUUUCUAGAAUAAAAGAAAAAUACCUGCGCAAACAUCUACCGGAGGAGGUGGACCACUGGGCCACAAACCCACAGGCCACGGCCACCCCCCUGGCCACACCGUGAGGGCUUGUGGGGCCCACGUGGCUCCACCGCCCCCAAACUCAGCUCUAUAUCUUCCGUCUCGCUCGGAAAAAAAAUCGGAGAGAAGGUUUCAUCGCGUUUUACGAUACGGAGGCGCCGCCACAUCCUGUUCUCCAUGUGGAGGGCUGAUUUCGAGUCCCUUUCGGGCUCCGGAGAGGGGAAAUCGUCGCUAUCGUCAUCAUCAACCUUUCUCCAUCGACAAUUCCAUGAUGCUCUUCAUCGUUCGUGAGUAAUCUCAUCAUAGGCUUGCUCGACGGUGAUGAGUUGGAUGAGAUCUAUCAUGUAAUCGAGUUAGUUUUUGAGGGGGAUUGAUCCCUAGUAUCCACUAUGUUCUAGAUCGAUGUUGCUACUACUUGGCUAUGCUUAAUGCUUGUCACUAGGGCCCGAGUGCCAUGAUUUCAGAUCUGAACCUAUUAUGUUGUCGCCAAUAUAUGUGUGUUUUAGAUCCUAUCUUGCAAGUUGUAGUCACCUACUAUGUGUUAUGACCCGGCAACCCCGGAGUGACAAUAGCCGGAACCACUCCCGGACAUGACCAUAGUAUGAGGAGUUCAUGUAUUCACCGCGUGUUAAUGCGUUGGUCCGGUUCUUUAUUAAAAGGAGAACCUUAAUAUCCCGUAGUUUCCAUUAGGACCCCGCCGCCACGGGAGGGAUGUACAAUAGAUGUCAUGCAAGUUCUUUUCCCUAAGCAUGUAUGACUACAUACGGAAUACAUGCCUACAUUAGAUUGAUGAACGGGAGCUAGUUACAUAUCUCUCUGUUUUAUAGUUGUUCCAUGAUGUAUCACAUCCGUCAUACUCAUCCAUCACCGAUCCACUGCCUACGAGGCUUUUACUACUGGUUCUCGCUACGUUACUUUUGUUAGGCUUGUCCCUUGCUACAAAAGGGAUUGGGCCACUUUGCUGCUACUUUUACUACUGCUGCCACUUUGCUGCUACUGAUACUACCGUUGUUACUUUGUUGUUGCUGCUACUGCUGUUCCUUGCUACUUCGCUGUUACUUGUUGCAAGACUUUUCUGGAGCCGUAGCCGGGGAAGCAUUCUGCUCAAGAAUAAUCCCCCGCCAACGUGCUAUUUACUAGCGCCAUUGAUACAAUAGUUAGGAAUAGUCUGCCGUCAACAGAUCGUUGCUGGCACCGUUACUAUCAUACUACUUUGCUACUGAUACUUUGCUUGCAGACACUAAUGUUUCAGGUGUGGUUGAAUCUAAUAAACUCAGCUGCUAAUACUUGAGAAUAUUCUUUAGCUUCCCCUUGUGGGCGAAUCAAUAAAUUUGGGUCGAAAACUCUAUCCUCGAAAACUGUUGCGAUCCCCCACACUUCUGGGUUAUCAGCCGGUGCCCCGAAAUUGCCCGUGUGUCACGCCCAAGAUGCGACCAUAUCCUCAACUUGGCACGAAGGCCUCGUCAGGGAUAGAAGCGCAUCUCGUCGUGUCGCAAGAAUGGAUAUCGUCACAAGUACAUGUUCUGAAAAGAAGAGAUAUAUAUAUAUACAGAGUUGGCUUACACUCGCCACAAGCUACAUCAGAGUCACAUCAGUACAUUACAUAAUCAUCAAGGGUAAGAGCAGGGUCCGACUACGGACAAAAACAAACGAGAAAAAUAAGAACGACGUCCAUCCAUGCUAUCCCAGGCUGCCGGCCUGGAACCCAUCCUAGAUCGAUGAAGAAGAAGAAGAAGAAGCAACUCCAAAUGUACAAUCAACGCGCUCGCGUCAAGUAACCUUUACAUGUACCGGCAACUGGUGUUGUAGUAAUCUGUGAGCCACAGGGGACUCAGCAAUCUCAUUUCCAAAGGUAUCAAGACUAGCAAAGCUUAAUGGGUGAGGUAUGGUUAAGUGGUGAGGUUGCAGCAGCGGCUAAGCAUAUAUAUUUGGUGGCUAAACUUAUGAAUACAAGAAAUAAGAGGGGGAAGAUCUACGCAUAACGGACGUGACUACUGAUGAUCAAAUGAAUGAUCCUGAACACCUACCUACGUCAGACAUAACACCACCGUGUCCUCGAUCGGAGUAAGAACUCACGAAAGAGAUAGUCACGGUUACGCACACAAUUGGCAUGUUUUAAUUAAGUUAGCUUCAAGUUUUCUAGAACCAGUGUUAAACAAAGUAUCCACGUUGCCACAUAACCGCGGGCACGGCUUUCCGAAAGAAUUAACCCUGCAGGCGUGCUCCAACUAGUCCAUCACAAAUUUCCACAAGCCGCAUAGAAAUCCUCAAUCACGAAGCUCGCGAUCUCGUCGGAUUCCCUAGUGGAAAACCUCAACUCUUAGAUUACCCAAAGCAUCACCGGAAUCCUGAUGCACAAGAUAUCUCGUCAAAGGUAAAACUAAUCCAACAAGGCCGCCCGAUGUUUCGACGAUCCCGAUAGGAGUCGCGUACCACGUUCUCAGGACACGACGGAUGAGCUAGACGUCGGGAUCGCUAAACCUCCGGGUGACCAGAGGGGCGCCGGACAUCGCUCAGGUGGGACCAACACUCAUGAGGAGCACUGGCCCGAGGGUUGAUUAAAAUAGUCCGCGGGUGCCGGCGGGUCCCUAUGCAUUAUUAUUAGGUUAUUAGGCAAAUGUAGUACCAAAGUUGGGCCUUGCCAGACCAGCUUUAAUCUAAAACGAAUUAUCAAGGGGGUCCCCAUAACAACCCUGAUCGUGUUAGGAGCGCUCAAUUAUGGAACAUAACACCGGUAGCCGGAAACUAAGGGAGCAAAGGUGGAACAAAACACCAGGCUAGAAAGGCCGAGCCUUCCACCUUUUACCAAGUAUAUAGGUUCAUUAAAUUAAAUAGCGUUUAAUAUGGUGAUAUAACAAGGAACCCAUGUUUUCACAUGGAAGCAUCUGCACGUGCAACUAGCAACGCUACACAGGGUUAAGCAAGCAGUAACAUAGUGAAUCAGUGGUUUGCUAGGUUGAACAGGUUGAAGGUUAUGAUGGCAUUGUUGAGAGGCUGAUAUUUAACAUGUGGUAGGCAACGAGACAUAAUCGAUAGCAUCGAAAUAACUAGCAUGGCAAUGGUAGUAAUGGUAUUUAGAGAAAUGAUCAUCUUGCCUGAGAUCCCGCUUGGAAGAAGAACAACUCGGUGAAGUCGGCGAACCAACGUAGUCGAACGGGUCCUCACAUUCCGACACGCUUGCGGAACUCUAUCGGAUCGGAGCAAACCAUAAACCAACAUUAGCACAAAUAUACCACACGAUGCACACAUGAUGCACAACCUACUAUGAUGCAUGAUCAGUUCAACAUGCAAGGGAUGGCAUGGCAAUUCACCUCACGCAAACACUACACAUUAAAUGACGCUCGAUAUGCAACGGGUUGCAUAUCGACGAAACUCCACGAUUAAUUAUUUAAUUCACUCCCGAUUAUUUACACGGCAAUAUUAAAUUGUUGUUAUCAUGGCAAGGGGUGAAGCGGUGAUCCUACAUGGCAUCCUAGACGGUUUAACUCGCGGAACAUAGAACGGAGCUACGGCACAAGAACAUGCAACACAAGAUUAUAUGCCAUGAAUGCGACAUGGAUGCAAGGUCACAACACCACGGACAAGAUGAAAAAGAAGCAUGUGUCGCCACGGCGAACGGAAGGGAACCAUAGCGGCAAAACGGAAACAAUGCCACGACAACGUUCGGGUCCCGAAAACUCGAAGAGGUAUCGGUGCCAAUGUAUUGUGAGCGUGUGCGUGUCAUGCCAAAGAAUGAUGGGGUGUUCCCGGUUAUCGGGCUCCCAUGUGUCGGGGACACGAGAAAAGGGAAACAACAUGCAGCUAACAUGGCAUCUACAGAACGGACAACAUCACAUCUCAUACAAACAUGCAUGUCUAGGUUAAAGAUGAAAUCAUAGGAGGAAAAAAACACAUAGGCCGAAUUGCAAUAUAGUGAGGCGGACGAGGGAAGUAAGUGUGUGAGAGUGCAAAAAGAGAAAAAGAAAGCAUGUCAAAAUGUGAGCUACAUGGGACUUGAACCCAGGAUCCCUUGGGUGGAGUAUAAAUGCACUAUCCAACUCGGCUACACACUAAUUGUGAUAUAAUGCAGUGUUUUAGUCUAGAAGAAUAUGCCAUGGUGCAGGUCAACAGAACAAGCAUAAAAAUAAAUGGGCAUAGCUGGGAUUCGAACCCCAGAUCCCAUGGGUGGAUUCUACCUGUGCUACCAGCAGACAAAUGAGCCAUCUGCUAGCAUACUUAGACUAGAAACUAAAUAAACAUAGACAAAACUAUUCCGCUGGAGAGGAAAAAAUGCAUGAAAUAGUAUGUAUCGUUGGGGACUCGAACCCAACAUCUUGCAGGCGCAGAACUACUACAACAACCAACUAAGCUAGAAUCUAAUUGUUGACUAACUAGUGCCAAAAAAAUAAACUACACUUGCCAGGAUGUAUCUACCAAAUAGACAGGAUUCAGCUAUGGGGAAGUGCUCACAGCGGGGAACAGGGAGGCCAUGGCGGGCUAGGCAGGCUAGGUCGCCGGCUGAUGCAGGUUCAGCCGAGGUCGUGGCAUGCUCCGGCGUAGGAGGCGUCGCAAGUCAACGCGAACGGCUCCAUGCUCGCUCGAAGCAGACGGGGGGGGGGGGGGUCUGGCUCCGCUUGUCUCCCUAACGUAGAGAGACGCCAGCAGGGAUGCACCAGUAUGAGCGACGGGGCGGCAUGGAUGGGGCAGGGAGGCGAGCUUGAGUCGGAUCCGGAGGGUCUUGGCACCGCGGAUCCAUUCCCGGUGGCGGUGGCGUCUAGCAUCGCAAGGUCGGACGACGGCGAGCUCCUUGGGGCUGCGGCCCUGGUGUACUGCAGAGAAGAAAGGAGAGAAAUAUAUGAGAGACAGGGAGAGAACCAGAGAGAGGGGAACAAGGAGAGGGAGAAAGACCUCCAACGAGCUUCUCUGGCGACCGACCUGCACGACGUCGAGUACGACCAUGACAGCACCGUCGUGGAGCUAUGGUGGGCGGGUUCCGUUCGUUCCUUGGCACAACAGAAAAAACCAACGGAAGAGGGAGAGAGAUCAAUAGAACAAGAGAAAGAGAGAGGAAGGGAGCAAGGGCGAUGGGGCUUGCCUGGCUUUGGUGCUCGCGGGGUCACGCGGCCCUCCAGAGGAGGCGGGGUGUCGGGCGCAACUACAUGCCUCGAUCUGCUCCGGAUCGAGCGUUGAGGCAGCAGGGUUAGAUCGGCAGCGGAGAUCCCAAGGUGGGAGAUGGGACAAGGGGGUGGCGGCGGCGGUUGGGACAAGGCUCCUAGUUUUUAGGGUUAGGCUAGGAUUGAUCUAUAUAUAUAGCAAAUCGGCCAGCUUUAGGGACAUCUCAACCCUUCGUUUAGAUCGGACGGUCGAGAUAAAUAGGUUAGGGGGUCCAGUGAACAAACCGAUGACGGUUUGUGGUAAAACGGGGUUGAUCCGGAUCCAACGGUCACGACAGCCGGGUUCGGGUUCCGGGAGGUUUUCAGACUGGGCUGCGCGUAGGGUCGAUGCACUAUGCAGAUGGGCUAGGCGGAGAUGAGAAGGAAAACGGGCACCUGGAAAAGUAAUUAAACACACCGAAAAACGUCCGAUGAUAGACCGAAUACGGUGCCGCUACGGUCGACCGUUCGGGUACCAGACGGACUCCGAUCGCGACGAAAUUCGACAGGCGGCCUAUCUAUAACUAAUGACGGCCGCAUGCCAAGUUUCACCCCGAUCAGAGAAAGUUUUACGCACACUUUAAAAACAGGGUUUCGACGGUGCUGCGGGCGCGUGCGUGUGCGGUCGGGCUCAGAACGGACACGACGAGAACCGGCAACUAACAACGGAUGCAAGUUUUGAAAACUGGCGGCAACGGAGAUGCCGAUGCAAUGCAGAUGAUGUAAAUGAUGCGAUGAUGAUGCGACAAAAGAAAAAUACCCACACGACGAAAACGGAAAGAAAGGGGAAUCAUCUGGAACGUCGGCACCGGGCUGUCACAACUCUCCUACACUACAAGAGGAUCUCGCCCCGAGAUCCAAGAAUGAAAGGGGGAGAGGAUGAGAAAGAACAAGAGGUAGAAACUUAAUCGCUUCUUUGACAAACGAGUGAAACCAACGAUCCUUGAAGGUUGCAAAGCGAUGAGGAAUUAUAUGAGAAAGAAGCAAGAAUUCACGGAAAAUUUCGGCAGCACUUCGGUAGGAAAAUGGGACAAAAAAUUCGAUAAUAUGGAAGAAAUAGACAAUAUACACAACAAGAAGUAGAUAGAGCAAGGGAACACCAAGAUCUUGAUAGAACAACAUAAUAGACCCAAAAGAGAAACAACAUAACGCCUCCGGAACAAUAGAAUAGGAACUAACUCAUACGGAAGAAGAGAAUGAAGAAACGAAUGACAACUAUCAUCGCAAAUGAACUUGGCAAGCAUCCUUGCAAGAAGAAUUGCACGGAGUUGUUGGAAAAACAACAAUGAAAAGAACAAGAUAGUAGUGGGCUUAUGAAAAUAAUCUCAACAUCUAUGAGGUGACAACCACCCAGUAAAAGAAACAAGGAUAGGUUGGGAGAAACAAGAUAUGAACAAUUUCUUACACCAAGAGGAUACAUUGAGAACUUGGAUUAAUGACAAGCACCAUGAUAGCAACAAUCCAUAGGAAAAGCUUUAGGUGAAAUCCAAACCAAGAUAGCUCAAUGCAGAAAUCAUGGGUUGAAAAUAUCUCAUGAUCAUAGAAUUGGUUGAUUUAAUUAUCUCAUUCCUGAAAGAAAGCUCUUCGAGGCUCCUACUCUAACAAGAAUGCUAUAAUACCACCUCAAAGGAUAAAGGAAGAACAAUUGCACAUAUAAAUGCAAGAGAAAGGAUACUUCAGGUUCUCCAACAAGAAUCUUGAAUAACACUUGAGAACGAAUUGAAACCUUGAUGAAUCACCAUGAAGGACCUCCGUAUACAAAAGAGUGAUGCAACAAAUAUGAAGGUAGAAAAGAAUAAGAUUAUGACCUUGCCAAGAUUUAGAUGAAGCUUCACAAAGAGAUACUUAAAAGAACUUGGAACUCCGGAAAAAGAAAGAUAGGCACUUGAGAAAAGAAUUGAUAUCAUGAGCCACUCCGCAAGAAGAAUUGAAAUCUCUUGGAAGAAGGAAUAACAAGAAUAAGGAUUAUGUUAUGCUCAUCCUUCAUCAAAUUAAAUUGAUGACAAGCAACAGAUUAAACAUAAAACUUAUUACUCUUGAAGAGAUUAAAUAGAGAUAGAUAAAGCCAAACUUAAGAAGUCUUGAAACAACCACCGGCAAGAAUUGAAACAAAUGAGGCAAUCAUGCAUGAAUGGAGAUAUAUGAGAAUGAAGAGAUCAAUAGCCGCCUGAGAUAAAACUUGAACAAGGCACCGGAUAUUCGAGAGACGAACGAAGAGACAACAAUGGAGAAGAAUUGAGGAUGAAAGCUGAAAGCUGAGAACGAAGAAUCUUCUAAAAUGAUGGCCUUCGAAGGAUCGAGAAUGAAAACAACUCAGAAGUGCACCGGAUAGCAAGAAAGGGAUUACUCAUGAUUGACAACAAAUGAGAGGAUAACACGAAGCUGAGAUGACAAUCUUCACAAGAAUGGAAAAAGACUGAGAGAAACACUCCGUCGAAUUUGCAAGGUGAGAAUGAUGACGAGGAACAACACCAAGAAUAGCUGAGACACUCUGGAAUAAUGAAGAAUGAAAGGUUGAGCCAAAUAUGAGAUUUAAUUCAAAUAGGCCUUGGAGAAGGGGUAUGACUGAUGAAAUUCAUACUUACGUCACAGUUGAAAAGAAUUAGAGAUCUUCGGGAAAAAAUUAGAAGAGCUAGGAAAGAUCCUGGGAAAAACCUGUGGGUUAUGGGCCCACUCCAAGAAAUCACCGUUGAAAAGAUUGCUAGAACGAGAGAUAUUGCACCGGUACAAGAAAACUAGAUGAGGUUAGCACCUCGAAAUAACUGAAGGAUUGAAAACCAGAACUACUGAAAUAUCUUUAACACUCUGGAUAGAAAAGAGAUGAAUAAACAAGAUAGGGUGAUAAAAAUCUCCAACAUAGGAAAGAAUUACAAGAAUGAAUAGGAUAUGAUGAACACGGAUAGCUGAAUUAAAUUCACCGAAAAAGAUAACACGAUUGAAUUAAGAUGAACACGGAGCUCGUGAGAAUCUUCACAAGCAUCACCGGAUAAGAGAGAAAAGAACAGACAAUGGAAGCACAAUGAAAAGAAAACUCCUGGAUAAAAAUUGAAUCACUGAGAAAAAGGGCGGGAGGGUGAGGAAAAACAAAGACAACUUGGGCUAGAUGAAACAACUCCAGAAAGAAUUCAGAGAAUGAUCUUGCAAAAUAGGAGAGGAUGGAAUUCACUUGAAGAGAAACACACCGGUUGGAAAAGAAUUAACAUGACGUAUCCGGUUGACAAGAACUGAUAAUACAAUUGAUUUGAGCAACAGAAUUAAUACUCUCAUGAACAAUAUGAGAACACCACUUAGGAAAGAUCUGAAAUCACCACUUGACGUCGAAGCAACUCGAAUUACCAUAUUCCAACAAAACAAGGAUGUGGCUUGCAAUUAGCCAGAACAAACUCAUGAGAAAGAUUUCGUCCGAUAUUUUCGUGGACAGGAUCGCACGGGCUCGAUUUUACAGUACCCAUCAAGUGCAAGGCAGUGCACCCGACAUAGGAAGCGUCCCGAGUCGUAGCAAGCUACAAGGACUCUUUAAGACACAACGUGUACCGCUGUGAGUCGAUCGUGAACGAACGAAUCCACUAGAUGUCGAACCCCAACCUAACAUCAUGCAUUUGUUGGAAGAUUGUCCUAUAAGCAACUACUUGAAUUCCCACCUAUGAAUUCCUGAAAUUUCUGGUCAUGCAAUCUGGUACACGGAUACAAGGAGUAAUAUCACACAACUCCUAUACUAACCCGUCUCCUGUAUCACAUCCGUCAACACACAACCAGAAUCUCGGACCUUCAUCUACAACAGACCCUCGUGAUCAGAACGAUACAAAGUAUGGCAGUACUCCCGAACAAUCUGCACCAGUACUGGGGACAUCGGGGUUAUCUCGCCACUACUAGUAUUGAAGCAAUUACGAACAUCCUUCGUUCUGAGAUACUAAGAAAUCUGAAUGAUAACGAUGUGCUCAAGAAUCCCCUGGAGCUCAACUCCCCUGAGACUUAGAGCAGAUAGGAGGCACCAAGACAGAACUCUGUCACAUCGGCAUCAUAUAGAUCUCAAAAAUAUCCGCGUGAUCCUAAAUUUCUUUUGAGUGAGAAGAGGAGUAGAAUUAAAAUAUUACAUCAAGAUUCCUCACCAGAGCAUAGAAGAGGAGAAAAAAGAAUCCUACUCAACGAUAUAUAACUAGACUCAAAGCAGUUUUUCACUAGACUUGACUCGACCAAGUACGAUCAAUCAAGGGGGCUCCUAGGUCGGGAUGGCUCUGAUACCAACUUGUCACGCCCAAGAUGUGACCCUAUCCUCAAUUUGGCACGAAGGCCUCGUCAGGGAUAGAAGCGCAUCUCGUCGUGUCGCAAGAAUGGAUAUCGUCACAAGUACAUGUUCUGAAAAGAAGAGAUAUAUAUACAGAGUUGGCUUACACUCGCCACAAGCUACAUCAGAGUCACAUCAAUACAUUACAUAAUCAUCAAGGGUAAGAGCAGGGUCCGACUACGGACGAAAACAAACGAGAAAAAUAAGAACGACGUCCAUCCUUGCUAUCCCAGGCUGCCGCCCUGGAACCCAUCCUAGAUCGAUGAUGAAGAAGAAGAAGAAGCAACUCCAAAUGUACAAUCAACGCGCUCGCGUCAAGUAACCUUUACCUGUACCUGCAAGUGGUGUUGUAGUAAUCUGUGAGCCACAGGGGACUCAGCAAUCUCAUUUCCAAAGGUAUCAAGACUAGCAAAUCUUAAUGGGUGAGGUAUGGUUAAGUGGUGAGGUUGCAGCAGCGGCUAAGCAUAUAUUUGGUGGCUAAACUUACGAGUACAAGAAAUAAGAGGGGGACGAUCUACGCAUAACGGACGUGACUACUUAUGAUCAAAUGAAUGAUCCUGAACACCUACCUACGUCAGACAUAACACCACCGUGUCCUCGAUCGGAGUAAGAACUCACAAAGAGACAAUCACAGUUACACACACAGUUGGCAUGUUUUAAUUAAGUUAGCUUCAAGUUUUCUAGAACCAGUGUUAAACAAAGUAUCCACGUUGCCACAUAACCGCGGGCACGGCUUUCCGAAAGAUUUAACCCUACAGGGGUGCUCCAACUAGUCCAUCACAAAUUUCCACAAGCCGCAUAGAAAUCCUCAAUCACGAAGCUCGCGAUCUCGUCGGAUUCCCUAGUGGAAAACCUCAACUCUGAGAUUACCCAAAGCAUCACCGGAAUCGCGAUGCACAAGAUAUCUCGUCAAAGGUAAAACUAAUCCAGCAAGGCCGCCCGACGUGUCGACGAUCCCGAUAGGAGUCGCGUACCUCGUUCUCAGGACACGACGGAUGACCUAGACGUCGGGAUCGCUAAACCUCCGGGUGACCAGAGGGGCGCCGGACAUCGCUCAGGUGGGACCAACACUCAUGAGGAGCACUGGCCCGGUGGUUGAUUAAAAUAGUUCGCGGGUGCCGGCGGGUCCCUAUGCAUUAUUAUUAGGUUAUUAGGCAAAUGAAGUACCAAAGUUGGGCCUUGCUAGACCAGCUUUAAUCUAAAACGAAUUAUCAAGGGGGUCCCCAUAACAACCCCGGUCGUGUUAGGAGCGCUCAAUUAUGGAACAUAACACCGGUAGCCGGAAACUAAGGGGGCAAAGGUGGAACAAAACACCAGGCUAGAAAGGCUCAGCCUUCCACCUUUUAGCAAGUAUAUAGGUGCAUUAAAUUAAAUAGCAUUUAAUAUGGUGAUAUAACAAGGAACCCAUGUUUUCACAUGGAAGCAUCUGCACCUGCAACUAGCAACGCUACACAGGGUUAAGCAAGAAGUAACAUAGUCAAUCAGUGGUUUGCUAGGUUGAAUAGGUUGAAGGUUAUCAUGGAAUUGUUGAGAGGCUGAUAUUUAACAUGUGGUAGGCAACGAGACAUAAUCGAUAGCAUCGAAAUAACUAGCAUGGCAAUGGUAGUAAUGGUAUCUAGGGAAAUGAUCAUCUUGCCCGAGAUCCCGCUUGGAAGAAGAACAACUCGGUGAAGUCGGCGAACCAACGUAGUCGAACGGGUCCUCACAUUCCGACACGCUUGCGGAACUCUAUCGGAUCGGAGCAAAUCGUAAACCAACAUCAGCACAAUAUGCCACAUGAUGCACAACCUAAUAUGAUGCAUGAUCAGUUCAACAUGCAAGGGAUGGCAUGGCAAUUCACCUUAUGCAAACACUACACAUUAAAUGAAGCUCGAUAUGCAACGGGUUGCAUAUCGACGAAACUCCACGAAUAAUUAUUUAAUUCACUCCCGAUUAUUUACACGGCAAUAUUAAAUUGUUGUUAUCAUGGCAAGGGUGAAGCGGUGAUCCUACAUGGCAUCCUAGACGGUUUAACUCGCGGAACAUAGAACGGAGCUACGUCACAAGAACAUGCAACACAUGAUUAUAUGCCAUGAAUGCGACAUGCAUGCAAGGUCACAACACCAUGGACAAGAUGAAAAAGAAGCAUGUGUCGCCACGUCGAACGAAAGGGAACCAUGGCGGCAAAACGGAAAUGAUGCCACGGCAACGUUCGGGUCCCGAAAACUCAAAGAGGUGUCAGUGCCAAUGAAUUGUGAGCGUGUGCGUGUCAUGCCAAAGAAUGAUAGGGUGUUCCCGGUUAUCGGGCUCCCAUGUGCCGGGGACACGACAAAAGGGAAACAACAUGCAGCUAACAUGGCAUCUACAAAAUGGACAACAUCACAUCUCAUACAAACAUGCAUGUCUAGGUUAAAGAUGAAAUCAUAGGAGGAAAAAAACACAUAGGCCGAAUUGCAAUAUAGUGCGGCGGCCGAGGGAACUAAGUGUGUGAGAAUGUAAAAAGAGAAAAAGAAAGCAUGUCAAAAUGUGAGCUACAUGGGACUUGAACCCAGGAUCCCUUGGAUGGAGUAUAAAUGCACUAUCCAACUCGGCUACACACUAAUUGUGAUAUAAUGCAGUGUUUUAGUCUAGAAGAAUAUGCCAUGGUGCAGGUCAACAGAACAAGCAUAAAAAUAAAUGGGCAUAGCUGGGAUUCGAACCCGAGAUCCCAUGGGUGGAUUCUGCCUGUGCUACCAGGAGACAAAUGAGCCAUCUGCUAGCAUACUUAGACUAGAAAGUAAAUAAACAUAGACAAAACUAUUCCGUUGGAGAGGAAAAAAUGCAUGAAAUAGUAUGUAUCAUUGGGGACUCGAACCCAACAUCUUGCAGGCGCAGAACUACUACAACAACCAACUAAGCUAGAAUCUAAUUGUUGACUAAGUAGUGCCAAAAAAAAUAAACUACACUUGCCAGGAUGUAUCUACCAAAUAGACAGGAUUCAGCUAUGGGGAAGUGCUCACAACGGGGAACAGGGAGGCCAUGGCGGGCUAGGCAGGCUAGGUCGCCGGCUGACGCAGGUUCAGCCAAGGUCGCGGCGUGCUCCGGCGCAGGAGGCGCAACAAGUCAACGUGAACGGCUCCAUGCUCGCUCGAAGCAGACGGGGGGUUGGCUCUGCUCGUCUCCCUGAUGUACAGAGACGUCAGCAGGGAUGCACUAGGAUGGGCGACGGGCGGCAUGGAUGGGGCAGGGAGGCGAGCUUGAGUCGGAUCCGGAGGGUCUUGGCACCGCGGAUCCAUUCCGGGUGGCGGUGGCGUCUAGCCUGGCAAUGCCGGACGACGGCGAGCUCCUUGGGGCUGCGGCCCUGGUGUACUGCAGAGAAGAAAGGAGAGAAAUAUAUGAGAGACAGGGAGAGAACCAGAGAGAGGGGAACAAGGAGAGGGAGAAAGACCUCCAACGAGCUUCUCUGGCGACCGACCUGCACGACGUCGAGUACGACCAUGACAGCACCGUCGUGGAGCUAUGGCGGGCGGAUUCCGUUCGUUCCUUGGCACAACAGAAAAAACCAAUGGAAGAGGGAGAGAGAUCAAGAGAAGAAGAGAAAGAGAGAGGAAGGGAGCAAGGGCGAUGGGGCUGGCCUGGCUUUGGUGCUCGCGGGGUCACGCGUCCCUCCAGAGGAGGCGGGGUGUCAGGCGCAGGCAGGUGCCUCGAUCUCCUCCGGAUCGAGUGCUUAGGCAGCAGGUUCAGAUCGGCAGCGGAGAUCCCAAGGUGGGAGAUGGGACAAGGGGGGAGAUGGGACAAGGGGGGCGGCGGCGGCGGUUGGGACAAGGCUCCUAGUUUUUAGGGUUAGGCUAGGAUUGAUCUAUAUAUAUAGCAAAUCGGUCAGCUUUAGGAACAUCUCAACCCUCAUUUUAGAUCGGACGGUCGAGAUAAAUAGUUUAGGGGGUCCGGUGAACAAACUGAUGACGGUUUGCGGUAAAACGAGGUUGAUCCGGAUCCAACGGUCACGACCGCCGGGUUCGGGUUCCGGGAGGUUUUGGACUGGGCUGCGCGUAGGGUCGAUGCACUAUGCAGAUGGGCUAGGUGGAGAUGAGAAGGAAAACGGGCACCCGACAACGUAAUUAAACACACUGAAAAACGUCCGAUGAUAGACCGAAUACGGUGCCGCUACGGUCGACCGUUCGGGUACCAGACGGACUCCGAUCGCGACGAAAUUUGACAGGCGACCUAUCUAUAACUAAUCACGACCGCAUGCGAAGUUUCACCCCGAUCAGAGAAAGUUUUACGCACACUUUAAAAACAGGGUUUCAACGGUGCCGCGGGCGCGUGCGUGUGCGGUCGGGCUCAGAACGGACACGACGAGAACCGGCAACUAACAACGGAUGCAAGUUUUGAAAAGUGGCGGCAACGGAGAUGCCGAUGCAAUGCAGAUGAUGCGAAUGAUGCGAUGAUGAUGCGACAAAAGAAAAAUACCCACACGACGAAAACGGAAAUAAAGGGGAAUCAUCUGGAACGUCGGCACCGGGCUGUCACACCAUGUCGGUCACCUCCGCCGCGCCGCUUCCUGCCAUUCUCACCCCGGAGGAGAUCACCGGAGCGAUCCACGACCUCGCCACCGCCAUUCAGGGGAUCCGCCUCUACCUGUCCAACCACUACGGGCCACCGCCGCUCGCGCCAACAACCGCCGCCAACGGGCCGCCGCUACUUCCGUGGAAGCCGCCGCACCAGGCGGCAUCUCCCGCGCCCGCCGAGCCACUAUAGCCGACGCUGCAGCUGCAACCGCCACCACCCACCUCCUCUGGGUCGGGCCCUACCUCGGCGUCGGGGGUCCCUAUUCACCUUCUCCGCUUUGGCCCCUCACAGUCGCCACUGGCCUGGGUGACCGAGACGUCGGAACCGGUAUAUACGAUGGCCUCGGCACCACCGCACAUCCAGUCGCCACCGGCGCCACCCCCGCAGUACGGCGAGCCCUUCAGCUUCGCCGGCCCCGACGGUUACCCGGCGCCGACCCCUGCACUUCUCCGUGCCGACGAGCCGUAUCACCACGACGCUCAUACCCGCACGCCGACACGUUUUGCCAAACUGGACUUCGCCACCUACGAUGGCACCCAGGACCCCCUGAACUGGCUCAACCAAUGUGACCAGUUCUUCCGAGGGCAACGAACGCUAGCGUCGCACCGCACCUGGCUUGCUUCAUAUCACCUUCGAGGCGCCGCACAUAUGUGGUAUUAUGCUCUUGAGCAGGACGAGGGCGGCAUGCCUCCAUGGGAGAGUUUCCGCGAGCUCUCCCUCCUACGCUUCGGGCCUCCGAUCCAAGGGAGCCAGUGAUGAGGACAUGACAACCUUGCAUAUUCUCACAAUCAUUGCAUAUGCGUAUUUAUUUGAGGUGAUUUGUGAUAAAAGUCUUGCAAUAAUUUAUUUAUGUUAUCCAGAACAAAAAUACUUCACUUGUUUUUAUUUUAUGCCUAAAUGCAGAAUGGCCGAACACUUGUAUGAACCACGUGUGAUGACAAGGGAAGAGGAAAUGGUUGGAUGCAAUUCAAGAGGUCCUCUCAUGUCAAAGUAAAUAAUUAGUUGCGCUUCAAGAAGUUCUCUCGCGUCACUUUUAGCCAAGAGAAGAUAGAGUCCAGGUCUCUUAUGUUAUGGACUCAGAUUCGGACUACACCGACAUGCCUAUACAAAAACGCCAAGAACUUUUACAUCCGGACUUCGAAUUAGAUGAUUCAUUUUGGGCUGCAAAGUAGAUUUUAUCUGCUUUCCAGCCCAAUUGGAAUCACCUUCAAAUUCAUCCGGAGCAUGGACAUAUCGACCAAACAAUAUGAUGUUGCACCAGAAUUCGAGUCAAACAACAAGUCCAAAGGUGUUGCAUCACCUCCACUUGGGUCCAUAGGCCUUGUACGACCUAGGGUUAGUUUUAGGCUGCCUUGGACGUCCUCCCAUCUCCUUGGCCGCCACCCCUUGCUCCUAUAUAAGUAGAUCAACCUACUAGCUUUUUGUUGGGGAUUUGUUUAGUUAAAAGUUAGCCACUUCAACUUCGUGUACUACGUUUGUGUCCAACGACCAGACUAAGAACGCUUUUGGAUCGCCACCCUUAUCAAUAAUUCUUCUAUAUUCGCAAUAUUCAGAUUGCAAUAUCAUAUUCUUGCUUGUUCUUCCAUUGCUUGCAGGAAUAGACCUUCGUGGUCAGGUUGAUCGUGCUCCGGCGUGGUCAAUAACCUCUUGGAGAUUGGUUUAACGAUUGCUAAGGUGCAACAUCGUGCAUGUUUGUAGUCAGAUCGUCAAAGUUGUGUCCACAAAAUCGAUAGCCACCAUCUCAUUGAAAUAUGGGACACCCUCGCCUCCUAUCAGCCAGCUGGUGGAGCUUGGAUGCCUACCCUUCGCCUCCACGUUGUAGGACUUCGUCGACCGCUUCCAGGCCCUGGCGUGUCACGCGCCCGGCAUGACGGCUCGCCAGCGGGCCGAGCUCUUCGUGGGCGGUCUGCCGGAUCAUAUCCGCAUGGACGUGGAGCUACGGGGACCUCAGGACCUCCAACCAGCCAUGCAUUACGCCCGUGCCAUCGAGCGUCGCGCGCAGGCCCUGCAGCAAGCGUCGCCUGCUUGGGGCGACCGACACCUAGGCAGGCCGGCCCCGACACCACCAGCGUCGGGGCACCCUCCUCCGGCCUCUACGGCAUCCCUCGUUCCGGCCACGACGCGACCCUCCCACCGGCUCACCCCGACCGAGCAGCUCGAGCGCCGUCGCCAGGGGUUUUGCUAUAACUGCGACUACCCCUACGUGUCAGGCCACGUAUGCCUGCGCCUCUUCUACUUGGAGGCAGCCGACUUCGUCGAGGAGGACACCACCACCGACGGGCUCGACGACUUGCCCACCCCAGUUGCGGUGGAGGCCGCACCAGCGCCCGCUCCCGCGACAGCUCUUGUGGUCUCCCUCCAUGCUCUCGCGGGCAUCCGAGACGAGGGGAAUAUGCUCUUACCGGCGAUGAGCAACGACAAGCGCCUGGUGGCCCUCCUGGAUAGGGCUCCACGCAUAACUGCCUUCCUGAGUCGACCAUGCGCCGCUUAGCACUCCUGCCGACGGGCGGGGAGCACCUUUGGUUCGCCGUGGCUAAUGGUGACCGUCUCCGGUGCCAUGGGAUUGUGCGGAGCCUACCCAUCACCAUCUGCGACGAGCACUUCACCAUCACGUGCGCCGACAUCGAUUUGGGCUGCUUCGACUUCAUCCUCGACGUCGACUUGUUCAGGACCCUCAGUCCCAUCCUCUAGGAAUUCGACGACAUGACGAUGACCUUCUCGCGCCAGGGUCACCGCAUCCGGUGGGAGGCGUUUGUGACACCUCCCCUGUGACGCCGUAGCUCCAGUAGGCAGCGACUGCUAUAGGGCCUGAGCACGCCCUGUUGGAUCAUCUCUUGCAGCAACACCGCGACCUCUUCUAUGAGCCUUACGGCCAUCCGCCAGCCCGGGUGUAUGACCACCACAUUCAUCUCCUGCCGGGCACGGCGCAGGUUGCGGUGCGCCCCCACCGCUACCUCGAGUUGCAGAAGGACGAGUUGGAGCGGCAGUGCGCGCUCCUGCUCGCCUUGGGCAUCAUUCAGAUUUCCACGUCGCCGUUUUCGGCACCGGUCCACCUCGUCCGCAAGUCAGAUGACACGUGGAGCUUCUACAUCGACUACCGCUCCAUGAACGCAGAUGCUCAAUGACAAAUUUCCUAUCCCGGUCGUCGACGAGCUCUUGGACGAGCUACAUGUGGCGCGCUUCUUCACCAAGCUCGACCUCCGUUCGGGCUACCACGAGGUGCGGAUGCAUCCGGACAAUGUCGCGAAGACGUCGUUUUGGAAUCAUCCUGGCCACUUUGAGUUCUUGGUGAUGCCUUUUGGCCUCUCCAACGCUCAGGCGACCUUGUAGGCCUUGAUGAACGACGUCCUCUGCCCCUACUUGCGUCGGUUUGUGCUCGUUUUCUUUGAUGACAUUCUUAUCUACAACGCCUCUUGGGCGGAGCACCUUCAGCACGUCGCCAUCGUCUCAACGAUCUUCGGGCGCAUCAUCUUCAUAUUAAGCGCUCGAAGUGCUCAUUCGGCACGCCUUCUGUCGCCUACCUCGACCAUGUCAUCUCGGCCGAGGGUGUUGCUAUGGACGCCGACAAGGUGGCGGCUGUUGCGGCCUCGCCGACGCCGCACUCACCGCAGGCUCUCCGCGGCUUCCUGGGCCUCGCGGGGUACUACCAGAAAUUUAUCCGGGAGUUCGGCCUCAUAGCAUCCCCGCGCACACGCCUGUUGCGAGGCGACACCUUCGCCUGGGAUGCGGAGGCAACGGAGGCGUUCGAGGCCCUCAAGCUGGCCCUCACAACGAGCCCCGUCCUCGAGGUGCUCGACUUCGACCGGCCGUUCAUGGUUGACUGCGACGCCUUCGGUGUGGAGUUUGGCGCCGUCCUUCAUGAGGGAGGCAUGCCGCUUGGGUUCUUCAGCAGGCCCUUCGCCGCACGUCAUCAUAAGCUUGCGGCCUAUGACAGGCAGCUCAUUGGCUUGGUGCAGGCCGUGCGCCACUGGCGGCCAUAUCUUUGGGAGCGGCUGUUCCACAUUCACACGGAUCACUAGAGCCUCAAAUUCUUAUUGGACCAGAGGCUGUCUACCGUGCCGCAGCACCAGUGGAUCAGCAAGCUCUUUUGCUUCGACUUCACCGUCCAGUAUCGUCUGGGCCGCCUUAACACUGUGGCCAACGCCCUGUCACGCCACAACGCGGACGCCGGCGACUCCGAUGGGGCGACUCUCUGCAUCGGCUCGGGGCCCUUCUUCGCCCUCCCUGACGACAUCCGCAGGGCUACCGCGGACGCGACGAACGCUCAGUUCCUUUGGCAGCGCCUCGACGCCGGCAACCUGGCACAGACGUGGCGUUUAGCGGACGACUUGGUUCUACAUGGGUGUCGCCUCUUCGUGCCGGAUUACGGCGACCGCCGUCACCAGGUUUUGCUACUGGCACACUCGGGCGGCCACGAGGGUGUGCAAAAGACCCUCCACCAUCUCCGCGCUGAUUUCUACAUCCCCGACGAUCGGGCCUUGGUCCGGGAUUGGGUGCGGUCUUGUGUUACGUGCCAGCAUAACAAGGCGGAGACAUUGCGCCCGGCUGGGCUACUACAUCCCAUCGAGGUGCCCUCUCAAGUCUGGGCCGAUAUCUCUAUGGACUUCAUUGAGGGCCUCCCAAAGGUGGGCAGCAAGUUCGUCAGCCUCGCGGUGGUCGACCACUUCUCCAAGGAUGCUCACUUCAUCGCGCUCGGCCAUCCCUACACGGCCGCCUCCGUGGCUCGUGCCUUCUUCGACGCCAUUGUCCGCCUCCACGGGUUUCCGUCUUCAAUCGUUAGCGACCGGGACCCGGUGUUCACGGGGCAUGUCUAGCGUGAUCUCUUUCAAUUGGCGGGCGUGAAGCUCUGCCUAAGUGCGGCCUUCCAUCCUCAGACGGAUGGCCAAUCCGAGGUGGUCAACAAGGUGAUUUCCAUGUAUUUGCGUUGUGUUACAGGUGAUCGUCCCCCAUGCUUGGGUGGAUUGGCUCGCAUGACAUAGUAUUGCUACCACACCUCUUAUCACUCCGCCCUGCGUGCCACGCCGUUCGAGGUGGUCUAUGGCCGACCGCCCCCGCCCAUCCUGCCGGUUGACCCUGAGCUGGCUCGGACCGAGGCAUGGGGCGAUCUUCUUCGCAGCAGGGACGAGAUGCUUGCGGAGGUGCGCUAACGCCUUCUCCAGGCCCAGCAGCUAUCCAAGCGGUACUAUGAGGACCAUCACCGAGAGGCAGAGUUUGCGGUGGCCGACUGGGUGUGGCUGCGUCUCCUUCACCGCUCCACGCAGUCCCUGGACCCGCGCACUAAUCGCAAACUGGGCCCUCGCUACGCGGGGCCAUUUUCUAUGGUGGAGCGCAUAGGCAAGGUGGCCUACCGCGUGCAGCUUCCGGCCGGUGCCCGUAUCCAUAACAUGUUUCAUGUGGGGUUGUUGAAGCCCUUCCACGGAGACCCGCCAGUAGCCACACCGGUGCUACCUCUGACGGGUGCCUUCUUCCAGGACCGGCCAAGGUGUUGCAGGUCCAACAGCGUCACGAAGUGUGGCAUUUAUUGAUCCAGAGGAGGAUGCCACUUGGGAGAAGUUCGAGGAGUUCCGCCGACAUUUUCCAGACAUCCGGCUCGAGGACGAUCUGUUUGCGCAGGCAGGAAGAGAUGUUAUGACCGGCGUCACUUAUAGGCGGAGGAGGCCUAAUGGGCACGUUUAGUUAGGGACUUAGCCCAAAUUAUCUUAUUAUUAUUAAUAUCAAGAUUGUAUAAACAAUUGUAAGAUACCCUUUUGAAAUUAAGCAAUAAGACAUAUUCUAUUGAUCAGCUUCGAGAGGAGCCGGAAUCCCUAACCUUAGCGGCCUCCUCUCCCAAUGCCGUCGCCUCGCCUCCGUGUGAGACGGCGCCCUCACGCCCACGCUAGCUCCCCUCUUUUCCGUACGAUCUCAGAUAGAGGCCCGGUAGGACCCUAGCUCCUACCAGGUUGUCUAGAAACUAGCAUCAAAACAAUCUCUAAAAGGAAUACUCUGUAGGGAAUACUCUACUCCCCUCCUUAAUCCGAGGAGUAUGAGGCGAGUCUUUUGCCACGGUUAAAAAUAUAUAUAUGCAUUAUCCGUAAACCGUACAUGAAUGGCUGGCUCCCCUUGUUAGUGCAUCAUUACCGCCACAUGACCAUAUGUUGUAGACUGUAGUUAUGCAGGAGUAACGAUAUUGACACAAAGAUUUGUGAUUAUUACAUGGUUGAAAGCGGCAGACAUGGACGUAAUGAAACCAAGCUUAAUUAUACCUCUGUCUGUACCUUUGCACUGAAUCCAGACAAAGUUGAAGAGCUCCGGGAUCGAGCAAAAGAGGAAUCGAAAUGCUCUCUAAAUCCUUGACACUGAGAUACGGCUGGGCCCGCAUGAGCAUGAGCGGCUCGGAGAGCUUUGUAUUUAUUUUUCUUUGCGGAGCAAGAGGUGAGGAUCCAUAUGAUUACUGGAGUAUACUCCCUACGUUUCUAAAUAUAAGUCUUUUUAAAGAGUCCACUAGUAAACCACAUACGGAUGUAUGUAGACAUACUUUAAAGUGUAGAUUCACUCAUUUUGCUUUGUAUGUAGACUUCUAAUGAAAUCUCUUAAAAGACUUAUAUUUAAAAACGGAGGGAGUAAUAGUGAUCACUAGAACAGCCACAACUAAGAGGGCAUUAUCAAAAGGUUGAAGAAAACAAACACUCCUACUACUCAGGUCGUAGCUAUAGCUUCCUGUCAUGCCAUGCGCGGUGGCACAGUUUCAUAUAUACUUUCUCUGUUCUUAAAUAUGAGUAUUUUUAAAGAUUCAAUAAAGAAUACAUACAAAACAAAAUGAAUGAAUUUAUAUUUUAAAGUGUAUCAAUAUAUAUCUAUAUGUAAUUUUUUAAUAAAAUUAAAAAAAAAUAAGAACGGCAGAAGUAAGAAUGAAAGAAACACCUAGGGGCGGGAUUUGCUUGAUACCCCACACGUCUGAACCGUGACGACUGACUCAAACAGGAACACUGCAAUAAUGUUUCACGUGUGUGCACACUGACUGGGUACAUGUAAGGAGGUGCUUGUUUCGUGGUUUUUUAUCCGUCACCUGUUAAUGAUGUAAACGGAAAACGUUAUCCGCGUUUGGUAACUGUACACCACAAUCAUGUCCCAAUGUAAUCAGGUCCAGGACAAGUCACGGUCGACUCCGUCCACCUCCCACCGGUAAGGAUUCUCUUACCUCUCUUCCUCCCUCACAAUCCCCUCCUCCUCAUACAGAGCCGCCGCCUCACCGCGAUCCCCUCCGCCUCGUCAAGCGCCGCCUCCCAGCGAUCGCCUCCACCUCGUCAAGCGUCGCCGUCUCCCCGUGACCACGUUCGCCACCCCAUGAUCCUCUCCGUGGCCUCCCCGCGGUCCUCUCCUCCUCCCCCUCCAACGCAACCACCUCCCCACCAGCCAGCCUUCAAGCCACGAUCCACGACUUGCUAGGAUGUGCAGCAAGGCCCAUCUCCGGAUUUUCAAUCAAUCUCUUCCUCCUCCAUCAACUUCCUCCUGCUGAUCUUGAGUUUAUGGUUACUAAUCCAUAUAUUUUUAUCGUGCCAAUCCAAACACUGUUAAGGGGUAUGUUUACUUUACACAGCCGUACCAAAUAUAAUCUGGUUUAUCCAGUCCGGAGCUAUUACACUGUGUUAUCUGAUUUCAUUUACGUUUACGUUACCAUUCCUCAAAACAAACACCUCCUAAGAUCUGUUGGACCUGCCUGAUCACCGACACAGCCGGCAGAAGCUCUCGGGAUCCUUUUAGGCCUGUUGGUUUGUAGGAUUUUUGUAGAAAUUGUAUAUGAUAGGAUUUUUAAAGGAAAAUUUCCUUUGAAGCCCUAUGAUUUGUGUGAAUUGCGUCCUAUUUUUAUGUCGAAUAUGCACCAAUCCUUCAUAUCUAAAGAAAGAAACAAUAGCCUAGAUUAGGACCCUCCGAUGAAGGUAAAAACCCACGUCGUGCUUUUGGUGUUUAUUGAUGAUCAACUCGAUUACAAGGGUGUGGAAUCGCUAACCUAGCUCUCGAGACUUUCUUACUUGUCCUUUCCACCUCAAGGGCUCCUCUUUAUAUAUGCAAACAGAGGCCCAGAGAUUACAAUAAAGUCCGGGUCACAUUACAACCCAUGUCUUAUUCUACUUCCUACUAUCUUGGGCGAGGGAGAGUCUCCACAUUUCCCUUCGUGAGCCGGCCUGCCAUGUGAUGGGCCUUGAGCCGGCCUCCUGGUGCGAUGCCCCUUGGGCCUUUACGAUAAGGCCUCCUGCCCAAGUUAUAGCCCACACGGGUUAUCCCCAUGGCGGGUUAACCCAUGGGGUAUCCAUGUUAAACUUCAUCCUCAAACAUUAUCCCCCAGUUUAAUUUGGAUUUAUCCAUGUUAAACUUCAUCCUCAAAAAAUAAAAAUGAGAACCUCUCAAAAGUGAAGAUUAGCAUGAGUCUCCUUUUGAAUUGGUAGUCUCCUGUUUCUCAGAGGAACAUUUGCCCGGGUUAAUAUCUUUCCGGGUUAUCUACCGUUUUCAAGACUUGUUACUUUUAUCAACCAUUGUCGUCAUCAUCCCAUCCUAUAUGUUGCUGAUGUCAUCCAGUCAUCAUGGCGAAUCUUUUUCAAAACGGUGUCGAAAUCCCUGUUUGGCGUGAGAAUCGAGGCAUUUUGUUUGGUGCAAAUUAUUGCGCCCACCCCAUUUUCACUACGCCGCUUCGGGUCUCGACUUAUUAUAAAUAACCCGGCGAGUCUUUAUUUUAACAUCUUCUUCCUCUCGCCUUUAGCAUAUCUUUCGAGUUAUGCCAGCGCUGCACUUUCGCACGCGACUUCUCCCCUGCGUAGCCUCCAUCAGAGUUUCUCAUCUUAGACACCGGAGAUCUUCCGAAAGCGACCGUCCAAAAUCUUACUUUGCUACGAGUCCUUGUACGUUCCUCAUUACAACUUUAGGUCACAGCCGCCGUUUAAUGUUCGUCCGAAAAUCAUCACAUGCAUUGUAGGUUAUAGUUGUAGAUCUAUCGUCUUUCAUACGUGCAUUUUGUUCGAUUUCACCACCGCGGUCAUCUUGUAGUAGAUCCAUAUCAGAUUUAUCUUGAUUGCCGGUAGAUGCCUUUGUUUCUGUAGUUCCUCAAUUUUAAGCGCAUUUCUCUUCUUUUUGAUGUAUUACGUGGAUCAAUAUGUUCAGCCGCUCACAUAGGAAACUUGUUUGUUGAUUUGCCAGUUUCACUAAGUUUUGAUAGAAUCUUUGAAGUGUGGUUAAUCCGGUAUUAAUGUGAUCGAAAUGCUUAGUUUGCUCCAUUAGCCGGCUUACCCAAAGACGAACCGAUAUUUGGCAAUAUGAUCUAUAAACUCAUAUGAGACGCCAAAUCCUUCCUUGCCAUGGCGGCUCUUCUUUUAACUUCUUAUGACCUUGGCCACUUUAUUUCCUAAAACCGGCUUAGAAACCUGACUCAUAAUGCUUUCUUUGUUUACUUGUACUUCUUUGCAAAAUUACCAUGCCUCCCAAGACCAGCAAAAUUUGUGGUUGGGUCACACCCCAAGAAUCUGUUCUCGCCUUGAAAAACCUUGUGACGAAAGGUCUUUUGUUGUCUAAGAAUGUAACUAGUUGGCGAGCGCCUCGCGAAGAAUGCCCCCCACAACCCGAGCAAGGGGAGAUAAUCUAUUUCACUAACCAUGUGAAGAGAGGAUUUAGGCCGCCCGACUCAGAAUUAUUUGGGCAUCUUCUUCACUUUUUCAACGUCAGGCCUCAAAAUAUUGGUCCGAAAUCAAUGACCACUAUUUGCCACUUCCAGGUAUUCUACGAAGUGUUCUUAAGAUUUAGCCAUCCGUGACUCUCUUUAGAGAGUUCUUUUAUCUUAAUCGUCAGACUAAAACUAAGGAAGGCCCCAAUGUGUAACUUGGUGGCGUUUCCAUACAAAAUAGGAAGAAUAGUCCUUUUCCUGAGACCAACCUGAUGAGUCAUCUGAAAGGAUGGAACAAGACUUGGUUCUACUGUAAAACACCGCUCCUGUGGACUAGAACCCACUGUCGGGUUAUAGAUUCGAACGGCUUGGUUCCGAUGCUGAAUUCCUGGGUUGGCCAACCGACAAAGGAAAAAAAUUGCUUGCCCCUAUGUUACUGAAGUUAAAAGUCCUCAAUGCCAAUGGCCUUACUGGGAUCGACCUGAUCCUAUGUUGGAAUACCUGACGGAUCCAAUCCGUAAGUAUAAGGGAUGAUUUAAUGUGCAACUACACCGACGAGUCAAAGAAUGCGCAACGCUUCAGCAAGAGAGACUUGAUUGAUAAAGCCAUCAAUAAGCUGACCAAGACAUUCUUUUCUCACUCUAAAGAAAAGUAUAGUACAACCAGGUUGGCCCCGUUGUGAUUUAAGACUCUAGUUCCUCCAGUAUGUAUUUUUUCAAUCUUUGUGUAGUUUCUUCUUUCAACUUUAAUUGGUACUCCGUACUUAUUGCCCGACUUAUAUUUCUGCAGGCUGACUCUGAUUCCUGGAAAGAUGUUUCCUAGGGUUCUCCCCCUUCUUCAAGCCGUGGGAAAGAAAAGGCUCCUGAAUCGUCUUCAGGAGAGGAAUCUGAGGUAGAACUCGAUUCUCUUGGUCAUUUGUUUAUCAAACUUAUUGAUGCAUCCUUUUAUCAGGAUAACACCGAGACUAGUCAAGCCGGCGAUGUCGAGGUAAUUUUGAUCUCCUCUUCUUCUUCACGAACAUAUGUUGUGAAGAAGACAAGACGAGCUAUCACGAAGGUUAAGUUUUCACAUCCAACUGCUUACUUAGAUCCCAACUUUCUUUUGAAGCGAGAUCAACACGCCGCUCAAUCAAAAUGCAAAACCUGGAGUUGCUCCAGAGAGAUGUCCGUCGGCUUAGAGCCACCUACUCGCAAGCAACGCCAUGAGGUGCCACAUAGUCCAAAUGUUUCUCACCCUCAAGUCGGUCUCUUGAAACAAUCCCUUAGUCCAUCUAAUUCACUUUAUCUGCACGAGUCAUCUCCCUCAUCUGGCGACUCGAGUGAGACCCAACUUCCAGCUUUCACAAUUACUCAUGGGUAAGUUUAUUUAGGACGAAUUUUAUUGACUAUGUCACCAUUCGUUGUUUCCUUAAUUUGAUAAAUGUAUUUUUAUGAUCUACACAUCGAAAACCUGUGUGGGUGAAUCCUCUUCUACUGUUGGGAAAGAUAAUAUUUGAAAUCCAUCUUUAUUUGAAGCAUCAGCUCACACUAAGCCGUGUGUUGAAGUUGAGCCAUCUUGGAAUGCUGAGCUGGAUCUUGGCAUAAGGAUGACUCCUCCCAAUGAACCAGCUAUCGUGGGAACAACUGGUGGUAAACAAGGCGCCCCUGAUGAGGAAGCCUUUCAAACUUCAAGCCCUGCUGCUCCUCCAAGCCUAGUACAUUGUAUGGAUAAUAUUACUCCAUUAGCUGGCACGGAUGACACAUAAGUGAUUAUUACUGAAGGGGCUUAUCAAGCUCCCAUCCCUUCAUCGUUACAUAACGUAAGUUGUGUCCAAGGAUGAGUCGACAUAUGAAGAGAAAGGAAAAGCCAAACUUGAGCUUCUAGAAUUUUAAGACCUUGAAUUCCAAGGGAUGUAUCAGUAGUAUGUGACCCGGCUAUGUGAGAGCCGGGAUUUUGAAGUAAACCGUGUCAAUACCAUAAAUACCAAAUAAGAGGUAAACCAAUUACCCCUUUGCUUAUCGUGUAUUCCAUUGUAUCCCCCAAGAGCUAGUUUAGUAAAAUAAGUAAUGAAUUGGGUCUUGUGAAUAUUUUGAUGACCAGUUAUAGCCCCCAAGGACCAGUUAAUUAUGAAAAAAUAAUGCUCAGGUACUUCCUUGAUUUAAGACGUUAAUUUUAUUGAUCGUAGCCCCCAAGGGCCGGCUUAUCUCUAUGAGAUAGCCGGUUCUUUAACUUGGAACUUUAUAAUUCGUUUAUACGUCUGAAUAUCGUAGCCUUCGAGUGUCGGGUCGCAUGCGUGCAGUGACUUGGGACUUUGUAGAAAAUUCGAUCUAAGUGAUGUAGCCCCCAAGGGCUGGGUAAUUAUAAUAAUAAUGAACCGGUACUUCGUAGAGGCCUUGAGGUGUAAAAUUUCUCUGGCCUUAGCCCUCAAAC
rnacentral:lncRNA from 1 species